rnacentral:lncRNA from 1 species
ACCAUGGGCCUCUGAGAAAAUCCACCCAAAUUAUCAUCACAAAUUUUACAGGGGCAUAGAAGAGAAAAAGUGCCUCCUCUAUACACGACAACUCCAAAAUUCAAUUAUCCCAUCAUCACCACUCACAAACCCCUUAGCAUUAGUGCAACCCACUCUAAACAGCAACCUGCCCUAAGGCUCCUAAACUUAUAUUGAAACCAAUUUAGAUUCUUGUAAGCACAACCAAUUGGGCCUUGUAAGGUUGGAGGAGAAAUGGAACGACCUCCCUCUUAUCCACAACAUUUGCCCUCUUAAAUUCCAUGAAUUAAUCCUAAGUUUCAUUGUCCAAUCAUGUUUGGGUUCAAGCAGCAACAGCACCUGCCUCAAUCUUCAAAUCACCACCCUCAUAAUUCACUGAGCAGGAUGGUUAUGCAAUUCUCUGUUCUUGCAUGAACUGCCUCUCCCCUUCUUUCAUAGUGUUAGAGCCCUGUUUGCCCCACCUGGAUUCUAUGUCUUAAGCAUGUCCAUACUCUCCUCCAUACGCUUUGAUCAACAGUUACAAAUACCUGUUGAAUAUCCCAAAUUUCAUUUUUGCCUGUGGUGUAGGAGCUUUCUCCACACCUUUUUGAACUCCUGAUCUGGAUUGCAUGAAAUUCCACCAGGCAGUAUAAUAGAUACCAUGUUCAUGUCAAUAGGAGGCAACACAAUACCACACCAAUCUUUCUCCAACCACACCACCAUAUUCCUCACGCAUUUUAAUGGGACUCUACCAUGGCCCAUCUUGCAAGAUCAUCUGCAAUAGUCACCUCCACUUCACUGCAAGCUUUCCUUACCUACAUUCCCAGGUGCAUCCAUUGCUCCAAUGCUUUUCUGACCUAUAAGGCCUGCUCAUCACCCACCAAACUAGAGGAAGAAGACCCCAGCAGACUUACCUAAGUUAGGAGACUCCCUUUCACAAAGAUAAGUGCUUACUGCUAAUUAGUGUCAUCACCUUUAGCUCCUCCACACCACCUUCACCUCUCAUCCCCAUAAAGGGACGAAAAGACCAACUUGAUUAACUCACAAUUUCUUUGCCUGGGCAUCAUACUGCCUCCUGUCCAGUAGAAAAGACUUGAGGAUGUCUUGCUCUCUGCUUCCAUAUGUUCUCCCUUCUCAGCCUCCAUGGGAGAUAUGAACUUAAAAAUUGCCAGCCUAAGGAGGUCAGAUUCACUUCCUUCACUUUAUUACAAUCCACCUUCAAAAUUUGAAUUACUGCCAAUGGGUUGCCAAACAAAAAACAAACACCCCUACCACCCAACAUCUUCUUGUCUACAUUGGCUACUUCUUGCUCUACUUGGCCUGGUCUUUAGUAUCUUACAGUUGUCAUUUAACAUCCUAAGCAAUGCUCAAAGCCCCCAUGGACCUUAGCUGCUACACUGCCUUCAGACACUGUUGAAAUUCCCCAUUUCCAGUUCCAUCCUCCACACGCUUUGAAUGUUUACCAGAAAAUCCCAGAUUAUGCAGCCUGCUUGGCUAAGAAUAUCGACUCAGAAAAUCUAAGCUAUCUAGGAAAAUAACAAAAUACCUCGUUAUGUCCUCUGGAAACACCAAGCCGGGCAGAUAUCAACAAUUCCCAUUUUUCAGCUCUCUUCCAUCAAGCUUAAGAUCUUUAAAUUACACAUAUCAUUUUUUCAUCCACAACAAUAAUCCAAACAGUUCAAAAGUCAUGAGAGUCCCCUAGAACCUAGUUUGUUCCGCCUUUAGUAGCCUUUUCCCGUAUUCAUGAUCUCCCCUUUAAUUUUCCCUUGCCAUUGUUUUCAUAAUUCCUCGUUUUAAUCCUAGCUGCAUCCCAAAUAUUUCAUUUCAGUUCAAUUUAUGCUGAAACCUUUAAAUUAUAAACAGCUAUCCAUAUUUCUGACUUUAUUGCUUACAUCUAGUCCAGUUUCAUCAGGUAGACAACAUGCACCACGGGACCUCAUCUUUUUUUUUUUUUCUUUUGAUCAAUAAGCAAAAGAAUUGUAUUAACGAAGAGGCACUAAAAUAGCGACCCACAGAAUUACAGUAUAGAGACACUCACCCCCUUACAAUUGGACCCAAAACAAGAAGGAAAAAACAAAAAACCUCCAGUUGUGCAGUUAAGUUCAUCCAUUGCUAAUGCAAAACGCAAGCAUCUGUGCAGCUAGAAAAUGGCAUCUCCCAUGAGUUGAUCUCUCAGGUUGUAUCCUCCAGUUGUAUGUGCAGCCCUUCAUCAAAUUAAUAAAUCUAGUUAUUCUAUUUUCUAUUUUUUUUCUUUUUUGAUCAGUAAGUGUAAUAUGUAUAUUCAAAAAGAGGCGCUAAAGAAGCGACUCAAAAAGCUACAGCAUCGAACAACUCACCCCCUUACAAAAGAACCCAAGCCACUAUGAAAGCACAAAAAACUCUCUCCCUUAACGCAUACACACCCAUUCCAUAAAAUCUAUUAAGGUCGAAGGACCAUCUUUUAUCCACAAUUUGGUUUCCGACCAUAGUAAAUACACAAAAGAAAUUUUCAGCUUUUGGAUGGACAGCACCCCAUCCUCAAAAGCAAUAGAAUUCCUAGCCUUCCAAAUAACCCAAAACAAGCAUAACGGUCCCAAAAGCCACGCCACCUUCCUCUUCUUGCCCACAAAGGAGCCUCUCCAACCUAUGAGAGUUUCCUUAACCGAAAGCGGAAAAACCCAAGAGACUCCAAAAAAAGAGAGUAGCAAAGUCCACACCUCCCUUGCUCUUCCAAACACCUAUUAGUUACAUUUGUCUUGUUAUAUACUAAUUUUGAAACAUAUAAUUUCCUCCCUGCUAUAUCUGAUGGAUAUGGACACAGGUAUGAGAUGCACAGAUUCACUGACCUAGCUCAAAAAGUAGGACCAUAGAUGUGGAAAGGACAGAACAAUAUAUUAGUAUAUGCUUACUGGUCUUUCCUCUCUUUUACUAGUCAUAUUCUUGUCUUUUGUGAGUUUGAUCUCUGUGCACUGCACUAUAUAGACGCAUGUCCAGCAGUGUGAGGGGAUUGUACUUUCCUACUUAGUAUUCACAUAGACAUGGGUCCUCUUUAAAGGCAAGCAUGCUACGGGCAUCCUGUUUAUGUUUACAUUUCAAGUUUAAGUAGUUUGUUAGUUGUUUUGAGGAUUUGUUUUGUGUUCUUUGUAAAUUGUUGCUUGUCAAUUUGCCAGCUUAAUGACUUACCAAUUUUAAUUGAAGCACUUCAUCCUGAUGCAGGGCAUUCCAGAAGAUGAUGGCAAGUCCACCAGUUCCAUUCAUGUCAACACAUGCCAUUAUUAUUUCCUACCAUGCUUUUUACUGUUCACAAGAAGUGAAAAGUUUUUAAAGCUCACCUUGGAUGUGAUGGGCUCAUUGAUAACAGAAAAUGGUUCAUCACCUUUUUCUCCUAAUUGUAUUCUAAAUGCCACUGACCAUACGAAUAGGAUAAGAGCUAUUGUUGAAAUCCUUAUAUUGAUGCACAAAGAUGUUAAAAUCCAGCGAAUUCUUUCUUCAUGCAAAUCAGAGAUUGACCAUAUUUUGCAGAACAUGCUCUUAUUACAGGUAUGAUUUUGUACAUUAAGCCAUGCAAUUCCGUUUAGUUUUUUUUUAGUUAGUUUGUGUAUUCAACUGACCUGUCUGGUCCAAGCAUCAUGGAUUUUUUUCAAGGUUAAACCAGGCAGCCAAAGCCUGCACUAUAAAUGCUAUUUAAUCACGGAUGUCAUAGAUUGUUUAUAUUUAAUAUGUAGAAUGUGCCAAAUUGAAAUGCUCAUUAAGUAUCUUUUAGCAGAAUAACUGAUUGGCCUUUAUACUGUCCGAUCUACCUGAUCUAAUAUGACUCUUUAACUCUCCAAGGAUUGCUGUAAAAAGGAAAAUGAGUCAGAAAUUCAGAGUAAAGAUUACCAUGACAAUCACAAGCUUCAUUGUAAUGAAAUCAGCCUGUUUAUUGUUUGAUCAUUAACAUGUUGAAUACUGCUGUUAUGAUUAGAUGUUUUUUUCCCUCAAGAUAGGGUAAGAACUUUAGAAUUGGACCCCUUAUAAUUCAGACCUAAUUUUAUAUUCACAAGCCUUCACAAAAUACCUUUCAAAUUCGAUUUGACCUCAUAAUCACUAGCCUUAUAUGCAAGAUAGUCUGCAAUUUUGUUGCUAUUUCUGUUGAAAAUAUCAAUAAUGGUUUUAUAAUCCAAUUAUAUGAUAAAUACCAAUCAUAUCCAAUUAUAUGAUAUAUAGAUCUACUUUCCUUCUUUUGAUCACACUUUACACAGCAGAUUUUGUAUGUGAGAAGGAUUUCUCUGUUUUCUCAGCCUUCUUUAUAUUUGUUUUCACUGGAAUAAAAUGGUUGUUUCUGAUUAAUAUUAACAUAUGCACACACACACAUAUUAUACACGCUAAAGACAUGUUGUUGUGUGUAAGUAAUAAAUUUCUUGACAUCAUUGUUACCGCAGGCUUCAAAAGGAAUGAAUAUGAGUAUCGAAGAAAGGCACAAUAUACAAUGUGCAUUUGACCGACUAAAGUGCAUAACAAGUACACUACCCAGUGCGACGCCAAUAAUCUAAAUGCAUUUUUGGAAUCCAAUAAAUUGGCCUAGUAAGUUAUCUAUCUUUCAUCUGCUUUUGUUUCACACAUUAUUCUUCAUUUAAAAGAGGUGAAAGGCAAGGUGGUUUUGGAGGUUUUGGGUUCUGUUUCUCAUGAGAAAGUUCAUGAUCCAGGGAGGGGGGAUGAUCAAUUACAAUCUUGCUUCUUUGACUCUAAAGGGCAUUCCAAUUUUAUGGUCUAAGAUAUCCUGACGCUACUGUACAGUAUGGGCAAAGGAGUCUAUAAUUCAAACUAGUCAUUGGCUUGUGCAAUGUACAUGAAACUGUUUUGUUCAAAACAGAUUGAUAAAAUAAUAUAUUCUAUGUCAACUAAAAGUGAUAUUUUUCUAAUAGGUAUAACUAGAAAGUGAUCUGAAUUUUGUUUGGCUCUUUAAUUAAUGAUCUCUUCGCCUGUCAAAGAAAACUAUGGAGUGACGUAAGGCUGCUAUAGUAAUGAAACUGUUUUUAUUUCUGAUAAAAAAAAUGAAAUUAAAAUAAAAUAAAAUGAAAGGGUUUUAGGUAUAGGAGAAAAUUAGUUGCUAUAUCCUUUGUGGUGGUUUUGAUCUGUUAUGGAAAAAAAUGAUCCCUUUACUUUAUGCAGCUGUCUCUUCUGACUCUUUUAUCUUAAAAGGGGCCAUGUGCUCCUUGGAUAGCGGUAGUCUUUCUUCUACUAAAUCCAUUGGCUCUCCCAGAGCCUGGGUUCCAUGUUGGAUUCUGUUGGGUGAUUCCUAGUGAGAUUCCAUUGGUGUUUGGGGUUGCUUUCUGGGUUUUUUCAGCAUAUAAGUUUUAUUGUCUGAUGCUUCUAAUGAUACGCAAUAACUUGAACCUAUACAGGAGAAUGCCCAUUGAAACAUCUCAUCGAGUAUUUAAUACAAUGUUUUGUAACAGAAGUGUGACUAAUUUUCUCUCAUUUUUCUUGUGCCUUCUUUCAGCUUUGUAUUUUACAAGAAUGGAGAGAACAUGGAGAAUCGGAUAUGUUGUUGGCAAGAUGUGGAAUUGGGAUGUGUUGUUAAAUCAACUAGUAUAUGUCACCAUAAUCUCAAGAUGACAAGGUGAAUUCACUCUGAUUCAACUUAUCCGAGUCAUGCCAGAAUUAUACCUAGUGGUCUUCAAUCACAUGCUUGUAUUCUUCAGAGUCAAAAGUGAGUGCAAUUUUGAGCCGUAGAUAAGGUAAUCAUCCCCCUUUCUUGGCCUUUUCCUUGGUUUUUUUCCUCUCCUUUUCUUCUGCAUGGCAAUUGCCUACGCACUUCAUCAUAUAGUUGAGUUAUAAGAUAUAUACUUAUAGUUGAUGAGAUUUUGUAGAAAAUUUUGGAAUUGCCCCAAACUGAUAAGAUGGCAUGAGGUUGAAUGCACACAAUUUUGGGAGUUGACUCAUAAGUUAAAAUGAUUCAAUGGAGUAGACGUAUUACACAAAUUUACCUCUCCGAGUGAAUAUUAAUAAAACGCACCAACAAUUGAGCAAUAUUUGGUCUUCUAAUUAUUCAGUGAUGUUCUUUGUUGUUGAAAGUCAAAAGAACAAUUUAUCAUCCGAAAAUCUGUUGAUUGAAAACCAUUUGUUUUCAAGACUAGUUAUAUUAGAAAGUUGAUUGUAGUAUGGGAUCAAGGACUAUUAUUGCCGAGGUUGGGUGAGUGAGAUUUUAUGUAUUGACCCUUUAAGUUCAUAUUUACAGAUUCUCAUUACCUCAUUAAGCAAAAUAAGAUGAGGGAUGGAUGAUACCUGAAUUGCCUGAUUCUUCUACAGCCCAAUACCCGAUAAUAUUUUUAAAGCGCCUAUCAUUUGUGAUGGUAAACUUCGGCAAGCACUCUUCUUACACAACGUGUGCUUGUCAGAAAAAUUAUUGAUGGAUUUAAUUUCCAGGAGGUUUGACCGUGGCCCAAGUAUCUUUUCAACUGCAACACCAAAGUCCCUAUGGGCCAUUAUGCAUUUAAUCCAUUUUACCCAAACGUCAUAUCAUCAAGAUAUCCAAAACGGUGCCGUAGAGGUUAUUUUGAUAAUAUGUCUAAAUACAAACUUCCAUAUUUUUUUGCGGUCGAAGUGAUUUGCCCUCACGCUUGAUCAAGAGAUCCGGACUAGUUUCCAUUUGAGAAAGUUAAAUUUACAGCCUGCUUGAGAGAAAUUAAGGAAUGGUAGGAUCAGACAAUGAAAUAUCGGAGUAUUCAAUUAAUUUGCUAAGAAAAACUCAAAAUGAAUUUUAAUAUUUUACCAUCUGAUUAAGUCAUCCAAAAAAAAUCAUAAAUGUACAAAUGCAUGCAGGUAGGUGUCCUCUUCAUGAUGGUAUGCACUGAAAUUCGCAUUAGGUGAGACCCACAAGUUCAUUUGACAUUUGCCAUAAUCAUCCCUUAAAUGAAAAUGACUAAAAUGUCUUCAUUAAUUUGCAUCAUGGUCCAUGCUUUUCGUUUUAUAUGCUUCUGCAAGUAAAGGGCAUUUAUCUUUACAGGCCUCGCUCAACCAGGUCCAUAUGCAUAUGAUGGUGGAGCUCACUUAAUCGUGUGUUACACCGCUAUCCCCCAGGAUCCCAGCCAAGCAAAUUGGGCCCACCAAACAUUCAUGGCUCACUUAUUCUUAGGUAAGCUGGUGGUGUACCACUUCCAGGAUUGGCCUUCCCAACCUAAAACCUCUCAUUUGAUGAUCAAUUUGUUUGCUUUCAGGAAAGCAUAGUCCAGCCAAUAAUGUGCCUGUGUGCAUGGUUCACCUCAAACAAAUCCAGAAAUUUGCCAAGUCUUGUUUUACAUUAACCAGCAGUCACCCGUUGCCCUGAAACUAACUUCUUUAGUGACAAAUUUGAACCUGAAUACAAACAGGUUUGUAUGAUUAAAAGCUAGUGAGAAAGGCGAGUGAAAAAUAACAAACCAAAACUAAGAAAUCAAGUAGACAUAUAGCAGAAAUAUGAACUGCCAUGCCUACAUGCUUGAAACCAAGGCCAUAUCAACAGAUCAAGUAUGUGAGCUGGAACAUGAUUUGAGUGAUGAAAAACAAAUGAUUAUGGGUGUUAUUUAUUCUAAGAUAACAUUUGGGUCCUGCAUUUGUUCCUACUAGACAACAAUUUCCAGGUGUUAUUAGUAGUAAUCCCAAAUGUCAAGAAAACUAAACAAUUUUCACAUCAAUGGCAACCCCUUAGGGUCUGAAAAGCUUGGUCGGCGCAAUCAUUCAAGUGAACCAUUGAAUUCUGAAUUCCUUGCAUUGGAGUGAAUACAAGAGAGAGCAAUAUCAGUUUCAUCCUUAAUCAGGUUUUUUAAAUUAUUUAAUGAGAGCAAAAUUUGCAACUAAUAGAUUUUGGUAAUAUAAAUUCAUUAGUCAUAAUUGUAUUCUCCUGAAGAAGGGGAUACUCAAAAUAUUACCAAUAUGAUCAGGACACCAAAAGAUUAACUGGACUGGAAAUUGAGAACAAAGAAAAUGAAAAAGAAACAGGACUGAGGAAUAGAAUAGAAGCUUAAUACAAAUUCCCAAUGCAAUUUAGAAGAUUCUAUGAAAUAAUAAACUGUAAUUUUUUUUUCUGAAAUGACAUAUGCACUUGUUUGCCAUAUCAGAGUAAAGCAAACUACUACAAAGUAGCUAAUCUGUCAUCCGAAAAAUAAGAAGUAGAGGACAAACAAAUCUAAAUAUACAAACCUCUGCAAGAAUUUCUACUGAAAGAACUUCCAUUUCUUCUCACAAUCCUGAGACUGGUGCAAGCCUCGGAUGUUCACCUUACCAGCACAUCCCUGUAUCAGAUUCAUCUCAUGAAGCCAUUUGUAUGUAACUGAAAAAAAAAUUAAAAAAAAUGCUGUAUUAGAUUCAUGAAAACGACCCAAGGAGCACAACCAACGAGGCACCCUUUAUGAGAUUGUUAAAUUUUGAAUGGUAGCCUUUCAUUGUUAAAUUUGACUCCUAGUAUUUCAUGCAAGGAAAUGCAUUUGUUCCCAAAAAAAAUAACCCGGUCAACACAGGUUUAAGAUCAAAGUAUUGCUUUAAAUUUCAAUUGUUUAUGAUAAAUAAGAGUGUAGAAAUCAACAACCCAAAAUUUUUUCCAUAUUUUCCUUCUAAAAACAAACUUAAGAUUAAGAAGUUGGUGAUGCUUAUGUCUCACCCAUCAAAGGACCAAAGAAAAAAAAAAUCAACCUCUGGUUCUUGCAUCUCAAAACUAUGCAACUAAAAUAUAAUUGUGUGAAUAAAUAUAAUAGAACAAGGGCUCCCCCUUAUUUCUUUUGGUCUAAGCUUUGAAAAGAUUGGAGGGACAGGAAUGCCAAUUUGCUAUCCAUCUGAUCACUAACUUUUGUAAUACAUCUAUUUAUGAUUCAUACGAUGGUGUCUGCAUAUCAUACAAGGUAGUUGUGUUGUAACUCCCAGCUAAACUUGGUAUGCCAAAUUUUGGCAUUCAUGUCCCUUGUGCCAAACCUCGUCGACUCAUGGAGACACGUGUAAGUUCUCAGGCCACUUUGGAGAAACCAACCUCAUCCCACCAUUUCCAUCAUUUCAGUUCAAUGUUGUUCGCUUUUAGUAAUUUCACCACAACACGCAAUUGCUUUCCUUUCAUAAUUUAUGUUGAAAUUUAGCAAAAAUAGUGAUAAUUUGAUAGAAAUCAUCCCCUCUUCUCUCCCCCUCUCCUCUCGAAAUCAGUAUUUCUAUAUAUAUAAAGAGAGAGCGCGCUACCUUUCUGGACGAGCAAAUGAGACAAACUCCUCGUUUCUUCUACAACCUUCCAGAGGAACUUCCAUGAAGGACGAUGAAAGGGAUCCCCAAGCACUGCGAGACUGAGUGGCAUGAAUGUGAAUCGAUUCAGAUGGGAAGGGCAAUAUCGUCACAAAAAAUUAAUAUGUGACGAUAAAAUAGCGAACUAGACGCCACUGCUCGAUGAGUGGAUGACUUGGGAAGCAAGCAACUAAUGAGAGUAGGAGCCUUUGAAGCUUCUUUCGUCAUCUGGUUUAUACCAUAAAAAUCAGAUUCAUGUUCCGUAAAUACCCCCACCGCCUUAAUUUAAUUACUAUUUCAGGUCUAAAACCCCACCACGCCUCGCGCCUUUUAUAAAACCCUUUCUGUUGCAAUAUUUCCUUGUUAAUGUUUUCAGCCGACGGGAUUCGCCGUGGUCUGCAGGUAAGAUGAUGGAGAUCAACGCCGGGGUCUCUUUUCCGGUCGUCUUCUUCGAUGGGGAACGGGAAAUCAACAUCGGAGACGUCGUUGUGUUUCCGUCGAUGGAGUUUAAGAAUUUCCAAUCAAUUCUGAGCCAGAAAAUUGGAAUCUCUCCACACCAGAUCUCCAUCUUCCUUGACUGUCAGAGGAAAUCGCGAUCAUCCAUGGAAACACGUCGGAGAAUUCCUAUUACCGGUAAGGUGAGUUUCUCUGCAAUUCUUCGCGAGAAGGAUUGCUUCUUUCUUGUGGUCUUGAAGCGAUCAAGGAGAGAAAGAAGGCGAAAAUCAAGACUUCUUAACGAAGUGGAAGAAGAAGAAGAGAACUUCACGACGCGGAAUACAGUAGCGCCGCCUCAGAAACUGCAUCUUCUCCGGCGAAACCAAGAGACAACCGAUCAAACAUUUUCAGGCUUCGUUUCGCCGUAUUACGAUCAGAUUAUGCCUUCGGACGACCUGUUCGUGGGAUCGCAGUUUCUAAAUUAUAAUAAUCGUCUCCAGAAUUUGCAGAUUCAACGAGAGAAGUAUUUGCGCUCUACCAAUUUGCAUUCGAUACCGAAUGAGAACUAUGACUUCCCGGUGACGAAUAAUCGAAUCGGAAGAGAUGUGAUAGUGUGCGAGGAGUGUGUGAAGGCGAUGACGAUGGGAAAACCGGUUCCCUUCCACUGGUGCGUGUACGACGCCGUCACUGUAGGGUUCCGAUCACCGGCCGGACCAAUUGCGAGGCCUGUCAAACGUUCCAAUUAGGGUUUGAAGGUCCACGUUUUUAUUUUAUUUUAUUUUGUUAUUUUGAUGAUGAUGAUGAUGAUGAUGAUUUGAAUUGAACCCAAGGAGACUUCCGAUUUAGGCUUUCUGCUUAGGAACAGGAAACAAUAGUGUUGGGGGGUGGUGAUGGUGGUGCGAUGUGGCAUACGAUAAGGAAGGUAUACCACACGCGAUACCACAUAGAUUACAGAAGAUACUAGGACUAGGAAAUUAUACAAGUGUUGAUAUACGUGUAUGGAAAAACGCCCUUUGGGAAAGGGUCCAAGUUGACAGAUCUUUUUCUGUAUUUUUCUUUUUUUCUUUGGAUUCUUGAGAGAGUGAGAAGCUCUGCUUCAUUGCUUGAAAUGGUGAGACACACCACUUGGAAUUGUUUUCCACCCCAUUCCAUUUUCAGGAUCGUAACACUACUUUGGGAUUAGGCCCUACAGGAAUUUAAUUCCCAUUGGCGUUUUGAUUGGAAAUUUGGUAUAUGAAUGAAUUGUCAUCGUCUCUUUUCUUUUCUGGGUUCAUGGCUUACCAUUUUUACUUGUAUUUUAAUGGAAAUGUUGUAUUUUUUUAUAGUUUUGGUCAUAUUUUAUAUUGGAUGGUGGUGGUGGUGGUGGUUGUUGUUCUUGUUAUUUGUAGGAGAGGGGCCUUGUCAUGGAUGACUAAUUGGAAAUUAUUGGUGUUGGUUGGGAAUUAUAUUAUUGGCACAUUAGAAUUUUCAAUUUUUGAUAUUUUUUGUGAAGAUUAAUUGUAUUCUUGUAGUUUUUGGGUGUCAUGUGAAUUUUUCUGAGGGAGGCACAUGGCGCAUUCUCUAUCACAGAUGAAAUAAUGGCCACGGAUGGGAGGAGUUUGUCAGAAGAUAACUUAAGACUAAUAAAUAGAGUUGUUAAGAUGUAAAUUGUUACUAUAUGUGUGAAAAUAACAUAUGCAUGUGGUUAUUAUUAUGUGUACAGGCUCUUCUUUAGGUCUUAAUGAUGAUAAGGAUUUGAUAUGCAGUCUACUUAAUGGUAAUUACUAAUUGCCUUGAAAACUGACUUAAAAGAGUUCGCAGUAAAAUAUGAUUUUGACCUUUUUCAAAAAGGAUACAAGGAUCGAGGGAUAGUGAUUAACAUUAACAGCACUGAAAAUUAAUGAAGAUUUAAAAAAAUUAAAAAAAAAAUAGAACUCCGAAACAUAAUUUAUACUCAUCUUAGAAAAAUUUCUUAUAUUUUUUAGCAACUAAACAUAUUUAGAAAUCAUAAUGAUUAUCCAAUUACCAAUUUCCUACAAAUUACAUAUUAAUCAUUAUCAAAAUUUAUCAUAAUAAUAAAUUAUGAUAUCUUGAAAUAUUUGAAAUAAUGUUAAAUUACUAUUUUUUUAAUUAUUAUUUUUAAAAUUAAAAUAAAAACAAAUAUAAUAAUUAUGUUUAUAAAUAUUUUAACAUGUAAAAAUAAAUAGAUCUAACAUUUAACAAUCAAUAGUAUUCUAAUAUUAAUAAAAAAAUAAACAUUUAAUGGUAACUUAUAAAAACUACCUUCCAAUUAUUAUUAUUAUUUUUUUCUCAAUUUCUUAUCCUCUCAUUUCCCCUUCCUUGUGCAAACCAUUAAGGCUAUGUUUUGGUAGCAAAAAACAUCAAGAAAAAAAAAUACUUUUAUCAAUUUUAUUACAAAAACCACAAAAAAAAUAAAAUAUAAUUAAAAUUAGUUCUAAGUUUAUAUAUUUUAAUUAUUUAGUCCAAUGAGAAAAAUAAGUGAAAUAAGAUUAAAAUUUUAUAUAAAAAUAUUUUAUUAACUUUAAAUUUAUAUUUUUAUUAGGUUAUGUUUUAUGAUAAAAUAAAGUUAUCCAAAGAUCUUAAGGCUAUGUUUGUUUUUUUUAAAUUUUUGAAGGAAAACAAAUAGUAGGGAAAAAAAAAAAAAGAUAAUAAAUAAAUAAAUUUAAAUUUAAUAAAUUAUUUUUAUAUAUUACUUCAAACUAAUUUCACUUAUUUUUUUCAUUAUAUUUAAAAAUAAAAUAUUGUAAUAUGCGUAAAGUUUUAACUAAAUUUAAUUUUAUAUGUUUAUAUUUUUUAUAAUUAAACCACAAAAAAUCAUGUUUUUUUAACUAUUUUGUUUCUUUUCUCACUACCGUUUUGAAGCCAACACAUUCUCCAACAAUAUAAAUUUUAAUUCCAUAUUCAUCUUAACAUUCAACACCAAAAUAAUAAUAAUAAUAAAAUAAAAAAUCAUUUUCUUUUUCAAAAUUAUAGAUAUAAAUUUAUUUUACCAUAUUUUUCUUAUUAUUUUCCAAAAAGUAUUUUAAUAUCAAUCGUGUAUAGUAAAAUUGGUUUAGGUAUAUAUUUUUAUCUUACAAAUAUAUAUAUUAUGCUAAAAAACACGUGUUAAUAUUUUUCCCACUAAAACGUUAUAAAGUGUUUUUGACGUUGAAAAUCUUAAAACAAAUACUAACAUUUUAGUUUGGGAAGUGUUAUUAAAAAUAGGUUUCUAUUUUUUAUAAUAAAAAAUAAAAAAACACCUUUAACAAAAUUUUGAAUUAAAAAUAGUUAUUUUUAAGGAUUUCUUUACAAGACAUUGUUAUAUAAAUAAUUAAAAAUUAUUUAUAAAUACGAUUUCAAAAUUACUUUUUUGAGACCUCUUUACGUUAGUAAUGAAAAUCCUGAUUUUAAUAUUAUAAGUAAUCAGUAAUUAUUAGAAAUGAAAUCAGAAUUUUUUCUUAUUUUUAUUUUUAGUAUAAAAUUUUUGGAAUAAUAAUAAUAAUAAUAAUAUGUUCGCAUUACAUUUUCAGAAAACAAAGUACGCUAUUGGUUGGGUUUUUGAAUUAAAAAGCAAGUUGACAACUGUUGAACCGCAUCUUCUACCAACCAAGGGUCUAUGCCAGUCGACUGUACAUCACGUGCAUAUCAACGACCAUAAGAAAGCAGGUUUCAAGCCAAGAUUGGCGAGUGGGGGCUAUUUCCUACUCGAGAGCGUGCAGAAGGCAUGGAAAUAAGACAGAAAGGAGAGGGGGGUUUUGCUGGGGGUUUUUGAAGAGCCAAAACGGCAAAACGGGCGAGUUAGUGGAGAUUGUAGAGCGCCGAGGAAAUCGCAGAGGGGGAGUGGUCACGUGAGUGCAGUACUCUUUCUUUCUCUCUAGCGAAGAUGAAAGAGAUUGCCGUAGCGCGUAUUCCCUCUCUUAUUUCUGGAGAGAGAAAAUCGUAACGUCAUUUUGAAAGCUGAGCGCUCUCUCUCGGUUCUCUCUCUUUAGCCUCCCUCCGUUCCCCAGAUGAACAUUUUGGUUUCAAACCCUUGAAAUUCCCUCUCUUCUCUCAUCUUCUUUUGUCUUCUCUCGAAGUUGGGUUUUGCUAGGGUUCCAAUCCUUUGUUUUAUGCUUUUUAAAAAUGGCGGAGUUUCCUCCAAAUUUAGAUGAUGGAGAACUAUGGCUUCCUUCUGAUAUUUUCCCAGAGGAAGUUCCUUCUAAAUUUGGGACCCACCACUUGCCUUCUGAGUUCGCUUACAUGAGCGACAUCGCUCGGCAGUUUGCUGCUUUCACUUUGCUUCAGCCGCCCCAGACCCAUCCUAAACAUCCUCUAAACUUGGCACCAAACUUGGAGGUUACUCUCUGUCCCUUGUGUUCUCUAUUUAACUAAGCUUCAGAGGAUUUGCAUUCACGUUGAUGCUUUGAUUUGUGGGUUUGCAGCGGUUGAGACCGAUGAUUAGGUAUGGGCCGUAUGGCCGUCCCGGUUGUAGCACCACUGUUGCAGUAACUGGAAUUGGUGACAGCCCUUGUGUGUGUGACAGUCCUUGUGGGUGUGACUGCCGACUCCGGAGCUGCUGGGACGGUGGUAGGCCGUUGUACGAGUACCGCAAUGUGAAACCGCCUCAACCCCAGGUAAAAAAAAGGGGAAAAACUGCGAAAAGGACCGUUUGUGUUGAGUCAUUUCAAAGCUUUUCACUUUUUCAGCUUUAAUACACAGGUCGAUAGCUUUCUGCAAACAAGGACUUUGGCUCUGCAGAGGCACCAAAACCGCUUUCAGAACCGGUCUUUGCCGUUUCAGAGAAGCGGGUCUGGGUUGGGUGGUGGUGGUGGUGGUGGUGGUGGUUUUGGUUUUGUGAGAAACUAUGGAGGGACAGGUGUGUUUCUUCCCCGUAUUUCAUCCACAACCACCACUUCUCCAAACCCCACCGCCACUGAUGACUCUAGAAAGAAACAAGGUGAGUUGUUACCGUUUUUCUUUCUUUGGGCACUUUUGAUAUAUUUGGUGUGGAUAUCUGCGUUUUCCGCUUUAGGUCUGCUAUUAUGUCUUUUGUUUAUUUUAGUUCCCCAUAUUUUAUUGCUUUUGCUUGUCGCCUUUGUCUUCAAAACAUAGAACCAGCUUCAAAUUCUUUAUCUGGGUUUUGCUUCGUUGGGAAUCUGGAACCAUUUUUCUUUUCCUUUUUUUUUAUCAAAAAGAAAAUUACUUUCAGACUUUAGGAGGCAUUUAUUGUGGUGAACUGUUGUUGGUUCCAGUCUUCUUUCAGUUUUUUCUUUUGUAGUUUUUCAAAUCUCAGUCAAAGAAAGCACUAAUUUGCAACUGCUCAAUUCAGAUGCUUGACAGUUACUAUGUUCAUAACCUCCUGUUUUUCUUGAAUUUUGUCAUUUAUUUCGGUUAUAGUUUAAUAGUUUAUUGGGUCUGGCAUUUCUGUUGAAAUUGUUUUGUCCAUCUAUCAAUAUGAGCCUGCUGCCCAUGGUGUGGUGCCAAUGCAGCUUAUUAUAAUGCUUAACAAACCAAUGGACUGAAAUAUAUCUAAUAAAACUUUGUCGCCUUUCAUUACAAGUCUGAUAAAGAAGUCAGUGAAUCUAAUUGACAAACAAAAUGUCUUUAGCAAUCUAUAUGGAUUUCUUCUUCUCUUAUUCCACAUCUCUUUUGUUGAUAUCAUUAUUCCUUGUCUAUGGUUGCCUGGUCCAGAAUAUGAAAAUGAACAAUUUUAAGGAUAAUUUGCGAUAUUUUGUUUUCAUUUAUCUUAAUCUAAGGAUGAAACAUUGGCAGGCAUGAACAAUUGGCAUGGGAUGCAAGUCAGUUUACCGAGGAAACCAACCAUGAAUGGCAUUGGUGGGGGGAAACAAGAGGAGUGCAUCCGCCAGCUUCCUCCUGAGCUUGCCUUGCCUCAAGACUGGACCUACUGAGUUCCUCUUCUUCCUUGUAAAGAGUUACUCUAGUGGCAGUGUGGAACAUAAGGAAAUAAGAGCUCUAAGCAGGACAGAAGUCAAAUAAUCAUUUGGGUUUUGUGUAGAACUAAUAGAAAUUACUAUUAAAGCUGAAGUGGGUAAUCCUUUCUUUUAGUAAGGCUCUAUAACUUUGUAGAAUAAAUAAUGGGUUUGAAGCUUUUUGUAGGAAUUUGCAUUGUUUCGUUAUUUACAUUACUGUCAGCCCUCAGAAAACAUUGUUUCUGCCCUAUUGUUUUCUUCUUUGUGCAGUAUUGAAUGCUUAUAGCUGGAAUAACACAGCACUGCUAAAAGGACUAUUGCUUCUUGUGUUGGGCUUUCAGUUGGUGAAUCCAUGAAAGGCACAUUAAUGACUCUGCUGCAGUCAUGGAAUGUUAAUUGAAAUCUGCCAACCUUUAGGAAAUUUUUGUGUGUAAUUUUCUCAAGGCAAUUUUCAGUGGUGGAUUUUUGGGUUUGGAAUCAUUCAUAGGGUAUUGAUGAUUUUUUUCCCUCCAAGCAAAUGGUUUGAAUUGUAUAGUCUUUACAGCCUGUUCACAAUACCAGCUUUUAUAGGAAGGAAAUAAAUGAGUUACUUAGAUGCCAACUUGAAACCAACCUUACGAUGAAGUUGAAAGCUUAUGAAUAGGGAAGGGCUUUUUGUGGAAAUUUUUAUUACACCAGUCCGAACUUUAUGAAUUGUUUUUACUUUUUGUUUCUCUCUUCUAAGGAAAAUUUAUGAAUGCCCUCGCUCACUUCAACUGCCUUCAUUCUCAUCCUAUUUAUGCGCUUGAAGCAGAUACCCAAUUCACUUAAUGUAUGGUGUGCCCAUCCAUCUAAACCUAAUAUACCUUAACUACUACCCCAUAUGGGUUUUAUGGAGCAGUGUAUUUUUAAAAAAUUCAUAAUAUAAAAAAUAAUUCUAAAUUUAUGAUAUCUUUGAAUUUUGAAUAAAAUUGAGUUUACUUUUACAUUGAACUCCUUUUUUGAAAUGGGUGAAUUUAAUGUAAAAAAACAAGUUUAAUGUAGAAAAUGUAAACUUUUUUUUUUUUAAAUAUGAGUAAUAAAAAAAAAUUAAGUUCAAAAGAAGAAUUCAAUAUAAAAAGUUUUAAAGUUAAAAGGAAAUUCAUUUUCUUAAGAAAAAAGAGUAGAAAAAAUAACGAGUUUAGUACAAAAAUAAAAGAAGUGUUGAAAAGUUCUGUAUUUUUAUAUUUGUUUUUAAAUAAUUAUAUUUCAAUAAUAUUUUAUUUUUUAAAAUCCCCUAUUCUCAGGACGGUCACAUGAAUGCAUUUACAAAAAAAAGAGAAUUGUCGUUGUCAUUACAAUUGUUUUAAGAAAAUUAAUUUAUUAUAUAAAAAGGAAUGUUUUAAAUUUAAAUAAAAUUAUUUCUUUAAUUUAAAGAAAAUAUUUAAAUUAUUUUAAAAUUUUAUAAAUAUUAAUUUAAUAAAAAAAAAACUUGCUAUUUGAAUUUACAUAAAAUUGCAUUUAUUCCUUCCUUUUAAAAAAAAGUAAUAAAUGAAACAUGAUUUAUUUUAUUUGUAGAUAUGAAGGGUAUUUUUAUGUACAUAUGUCGUGCGAACCUUUUCGUUGUGACAGAGGAGGAGCCCAAUGUGCAUAAUAAUGACAAUUGUCCAUCCAAUUACAUCAAUGAUAUGGCAUAAAAAUACAUAAUUUUCAUUUUUUUCAAAUAUAUAUGUGAUGUAAUAUACAAAAAGUUAAAUGAUGAAAUUUAAUAAAGAGUAAUGUUUGCAUGACCGUGUACAUUAGUAAUCUCAUGAAAUUGAAGCUUUCAAUUUGACAGAAUGAUAUGUUAUUUUUUAUUUAUGAGAAGAUUUCAUCUCUUAUUUAGUAAAUUUGUAUUAAGGGUUUAGUGACAUUUUCAUAUGGAUUUAGUAAUCUGAUCUUUAUUUAUACACUUCUCGAUAGAUGAUAGCUUAAGACAAAUACAUUUCAUCUGGCAUACGAGGAGAUGAUUAUUACAUUAAAGGACUCGUCGAUCAUCCUUAGCAUCCUUAUAUCGAGUAUAAUCAUAUUUACCACAAUAUAUGAUAAUGAUCAUACUAUGACAUAACUAGUUAAUAGAAUACUUGAGUUGUUAAGUCUAAUGUCUAAAUAAAGUUAUACAUGUAUAGAAAAUAGUCAAUUUGUUUAAGAUGGUUGAGAGAGCUUUAUAGUGAUGUUACUAUGUAGACGAGUGAUAAUAGGGUCCAAUAACUUGCUCAAGAUACACUUACAUAUCUAUCUCAUUAGUUAAGCCUUAUGACACAACGAUAUGUCAAAUCAAUUGUUGGAUACACAACAUUACUUGAGAUAUAGUCAUAAACAUCAAUAUUUCUCUUAUACUACAUUAUCAUGCAAAAGAAGAGUACUUUAAACUCUCAUAGGGCUGGGGAUAUGGGUAUAUCCCUAUAUUUGGAUCUCACCAAAAUAUAUAAUUUGUAUGAUCCAUUAGGAUUGCUUUUGCCAUCUAUGCAAGAGCGAUUAGAUGUCCUAUCCAUAGAUAAUAUAAGACAUUGUAAUUCAUAUAUUUUUUUUCCCAUAUAUAUAUAUAUAUAUAUAUAUAUGUAUAUAAUGUGGUUGAAUCUAUUGUUCAUGCAUUUUUUUUAGUUUAUUUUGGAUCCCCAUAUAUUUAUCCAAUUUAGUUAUUGAGCCACAAAUUAUAUCAGACUGUCGAGUAAGAAUAGCAAUGAGACAAGUCUUUUAAGUUUGUUUCAUCUCAAUUAUAUGUAUAAUUAAAUAAAAAAGAAUUUAAUUCAACUUUUUUUUUUGGGUUUUUUUAACACAAAAUAAAAAUAAUUUAUUUUUUAGUAAAAAAAAUUAUAAAAAAUUACAACAUUUUUUUAUUUAUAAAUUAUAAUCAUUUUAAUAAAAUAAAAAUCUUUAAAAAAAAUAAAUAAAUGGGGCUAAGCAAGUUGAUUCGAGAAUUUUCACUAUCCACCACGAUUUUCACAAUACAUUGUGACUUACUUGGUUUAUUUUUUAUUUUUGGAUCGAGGACGAGAAUUGAUUUAAGUAAUUGAGGUGGGAUUAGGAUGGAAGUGACAUGUUUUGUUUUCAUCAUUGAGUCCUAUCAUCCAAAUAGAGAAUUGAUGUUAUUUGGUACGGUACCGUCCAAAGCAAGAGCACCGUUUUCACCUUUUAACCAUUAUAAAGGUGUUAGCAUGGUUAUGAAUGCAUACUUUGACUAGAUCUAAGAUCAUUUGGAUGAUUGCAUAUCAUAUGCUAUCAUGUAUGGUGUACUUGUGAUGUAUUCAUUAGAUUGUGCUCUUUAUUAUAUGCAUUAAUACAAAUGGGUCUCACUCAUAUGCGUACAAAAGCCAUAUUGAAGUUAGUGGCUAUCCUAUUUCAACAGCAUGUAUAAAUAACUAAGCACAUCGUGCAACUGACUUAGAGACAUGAAAUUAUCGUAGAAAUUUAGAAAUUGUUUGGUAACUGUCUUUUAAAAUAAUUUUUUGUUCUUUAAAAUGAAAAAGUAAAAAAAUAUUUGAUAAUUAGAAAACUAUUUUUUGUUUUUUUGUUUUUAAAAAUAGAAAAUAAAGUGUUUUUAAAAAACGUCUUUUAAUUGUUUUUAAUUAUUUUUUUAUGUUUUAUGAGGAUUAUUUUAAAAAAUAAUUAUAUAAAUAUGUAAAAUAAUUAAAAAUAAAGUAUUAAAUAUAAAAAUUAUUUUUAAAAAUAUUAAAAACAUUUCAAGUUCUCAAACAAACUUUUAUUCUACAAAACAUCAUAAAAUAGUUUUUAAAGAUUAUUCUAAAAAAUUGUUUUCGAAAAUAGUUAUCAAAUAAGGUCUUAACAUGAAUAAACUUAUACCAAAGCAUGGAACAUAUUGAAAAAUUAUUUUGGUCGCCUUUAGGGAUGACAAUUGAGCGGGUUUGAGAUGAGACACUUUUAUCCCAUGCUCAUCUUAAUCAUAUAAUUAUUAUGAAAUAAAAGCUAAUUAAUUAAGUAAAAACACUCCAGAGGAGGGUGAAUUGAGUUUUAAAAUUUUUUUUUCAAAAACUAUUCUCAGGUUAUAUUGAAAAAAAUUAAUAGAAAUGAAGAGAUGAGAGUUAAAGAGAUUGCAAACUCAAAUUUUAUAGUAGUUCAUCCAAUUUCGCCUAUGUCCACUCUCCUUAAGUUUUUUCCAAGUGAGGGUUCUACUAGUAUGAAGCUUCAAUCAAGCUUUCAAGUCUUUACAAUUGGAUUUCCCGGCUCUAAUGAACACUACAAUCAAUCCUUCAAGUUUAUCCCCUACUUCAAGACUAAGCAUUCAACCUUACUUGAAUAAUAAAGAUUUAAAGCACUUAAAUCUAGCACAAUUAAUAAACAAGUACAAAAAAGACUAGGAUGAACACAAAGGUACACUAGAAAUGAAUUGCAAGUGAUAGCUUAAUAUACAAAUGAGAUAAUGAGAGCUUUGAAAGUGAGAAACAAGUAGGUAGAUAGUUUAAUGUAGGUGUUCUCUUAUUAAUAAAUGAAUAAGAGCUCUCUAUUUAUAAGUUUUUAACCUCAAGCAUAAAAGUACACUAAUAAACUUUUCUCAAUUGAGUUUCAAUCAAUUGGCUGACUAGUCAGUAGACAAUUAAUGUUUGACAGGUGAUUAUUAGAGAUUCGACUAGAACUUGACUGGGAAGAGGUACCCAUCGACUAAGAAGACAUUUCUCUCGGUCGGGAGAGUAAUCUUUUUGGAAGAAAGAGAAAAUUUUUGCACCCCUCAAUUGGUAUUUGAUUGAGAAAGGGUAACCAAUCAACCAAUUCUUUAUUUGGUUCAGUAGGUUCAACCCAUCCUCCACCUAUUGGAUAUAUUUUGUUCAAAAACCUAUCUUUUUCCAUCUUUAAUAAUUUUUAUAAAACAAAUUUGAGAAGUUUUUUUACUAAGGUUUUGGAUUAAUACUUGAGUUUAUAAAAAAAUACGAUUUUUUAAGUCUAAAACGAGUAUGAAAAAGAUGCAUUUAUGAAUUCAAAUUCCUAAUUGCACCCAAGUGAUCACCUUACAUUGAGUCUCUAUGCUUUGAAUAAUCUUCAUGCUCUUUUGAACUUGCAUCUCUUAGAUCGUUAACUUGAUUUCUCAUUUGAAUUAUUUGAUUAAUACUUGAAGUUUAUCUUGAUUUGAAAUGUUAGUAUACUAAGUUAUCAUCAAAAUAUAAUUAGGGAACAUUUAGGCCAACAAUUAUUUUUUAUACUUGUCCCAAACCCAAAAUGGGAUGGGUAGAAGGAUUCUCGUUAAACAUAAUAAUCUUGUUCUUGGCACACCCCAUCAAACUAUAUCUUUGAUGUACCUCCAACUCUAAUUGGUCAUGUUCUUUCUCAAGCUUUAGUUUUUUUUUUUGUAAAAUAAGUAAUAUAAAAAAAUAAAAAUUUUGAUUAUAAAAAUUAAAUUUAUGGUAUAUGAGUUAUGCAUCUCUUAUAUCUUAACUUAAAAUUAAUAUAGAUAUAAAAAAGAUAGUAAAUAAUAUAUCUCACUAUUCAUCAUAUAAUAUGUUUAAUCAAAUAUGAAAUAUGUCAAAUGAUAAAAUAACUAAUCAUAUCUCAUAAUCAACAAAAAAAAUAAUAUAAUAUUUCACUUUUUAUUCUAUCAUAUUUUAUAUCCCCAAAACAAAAAAUAGCUAAAGAGAGAGCAGAUAAUUGUAAAGAAGAUGAUAUGAUAAGGUUAGAGUGUUGAAAAUUGUAAAUAUGAUGAUAUGGAGAUAAAUAAAUAAUUGAUGAAGAAUAUGUUUGGGAGUGAUUUUAAAAAACGUUUUUAAUAUUUUUAAUAUUUAAAUAAUAAAAAAUUUUAAAUAUUAAAAAUAUUAAAUAAUUUUAAAUAUUAAAAAUGUAAAAAAAGGCUUCUAGAAUCAUGACUUUAAAUUUUGAUUAUCCUUCUAUUAGGUUUUUGGUAGGAAGAUGGUAGGGUUUGCUUUAACAUUAGAAGUUACAAUGAUGUUUCAACUUUGACGCCACACGUGGCGUUGGCUUAGCCGCUUUGGUGCUGUAAUCGACUAAUUUCUUUAGGUGAAAGUUUAAACCAUGUGUUCAGUUACGGCCACGUGGAACCAGCAUCCUCGUUGCAUAAACGCAUGCACUUUCUUCCCCGGACAUGCCGGACGAGUGAAUUUUAAGGAAGGUUCGAUGUUUUAGGAAAGUUUGAAAAAGCAUCGAACGGGAUUCUGAGAUUUUGAAUUCCCUUGAUGAACAAAAUCUAUACAAUUUAAAAAUCACGCAACAAAUCAACCAAAAGAGAAAUUCCAAAGAAUCCAAAUCCACUCAACCCAUCCAAACAAAAUAAAUUCACAAAAACGACUCACAUUUUGGAAUUCACUUCAUCAAUCUCUGCGAUGGGUGUUCCUCAGGCCAUGCAAACCCUAAGCGAGAGAGCAGCAUUCACGAGGGAGUCUCUGCAAAAGAGCCAGACCAUCACGGAUAGUAUGGUCGCCAUUCUCGGCUCCUUCGACCACCGCCUCUCCGCUCUCGAAACCGCCAUGCGUCCCACUCAGGUGUUUCUUCAUUUUCUCCUCGUUUGGUUUCCGUGAAAAAUUCAGGAAAGGACAAGAAAAUGGAAAGAAGAUUGCGGGCUUUAUGAGUUCUGUUUUUUGAUUCUCACAAAAUUUGGGUGGAAAAAAAACACAACAAAUUGUGGAAUCUAGGGUUUGCUUCCGUGUUCAUUCGAUUUGUGGGUUGAAUUUUUUUACGGCCACAAUGAAAUCCUCCUGACUGCUUGAUUUGAAUAAAAAAUUGUUAAAAGUGUUUUGAUAUGUUAAUUUGGAUUUGAUUUUGGUAGAUAAGGACGCAUUCGAUUAGGAAGGCCCAUGAGAAUAUAGAUAAGACACUGAAGGCGGCUGAAUUGAUACUGGCCCAAUUUGAUCUCACCCGCAAGGUUGGUGUCUCUUUCCGGCUCCUGUUUAAAUUGAUUUUAUGUCAUUCUUGAUUUCAGUUUGUCAUGUUGUGUAUAUUUUAACAUAGUUGAAAUUAUUAUGAGCUAAUGAAUUAUGCUUAUUGCUUCACAAUUAUGUACAAUGAUGAGAAGCACUUCCAGGACUCUGCUUUUAGAUUUUCAUUCAUCUGGUUUGUAAUACUCGAUCAAAAGAUUUUGCAUUUCCCCCCCUGUUCGGUUAACUGAGAGAACUCAUUAACAUUUAUACAAAAUCACAUGCAGAGACAAGUGUUAGGUGCAAAAAUGAGUUGCGGAUUGAGAAAAUAGCCCAUUCUAUAGCUUGGUGGUAACUGGUAUAUCUAUUUCAUGCUUUUAAUGUUUAUAAAUGAGACAUAAAUUGGGGGUGAGGCCAGAUAACAGGAAGGUAACCUCCUUAUUGAUUGUGGUUGUAUCACAAAAGAGGAACCUUCUCUAUCUAUUGGGUGAUGGAAUCAAUGUUUUGAAAACCGGACUGGGUAGUCUGACCGGUUGGACCGUCUAUUGGUCUUCUUCUUAAUCUAGGUAGCCUCUUUCAGCUGUUUUGAAGUUGAACUGGUCAAGAACCGACCAAACUGGCUAGCUGGUUUUACCAAAUUUGGCCGUUUUUACCAAAACUGUUCAUCUUGGAUCUCUUGUCUAAAAAAGAGAACUACUACAACAAUUGGGCUGCACCACUCUUUUAAAUAUAUUACGAUUUAAAUUCUUUUUUUUUAUAUUAUGAUUUAAAUAAUAUUAUCUACCGGCUUAAUAAAUCCAUAUAAAAUGAAAAUUUUGAAAUAAAUAUGAAAAUAAUUUAGGUUAACGAAUAUAAUAAUUUUUAAGAUGAUAGAAUGUAGAGUAUGUAGUUGUUGAAAUCUAGAUUAAAUAAUAAAAGUUUAUUUCAUUUUGGAUAUAUCUUUUUAAUAAUAAAAUAUUAUAAUUUGAUCUAUUAAUAUUAAAGAUAAAAAAGAUGAGGAAAAUCUUUAAGUUUGGGACAGGUUGUUCAACCCUAAUCAAACCAUGACAUUAACAUCAUAUUAUAAAAAUAUAUAAUUUAUAUAUUAUUAAAAUUUAAAAUAACUAUAUUAAUUUAUAAUUUGAUCUAUUAAUAUUAAAGAUAAAAAAGAUGAGGAAAAUCUUUAAGUUUCUUAAUAUAUAUAUGCCAUUAAACUAGAAAUGCAAUUGACACACAGUGUAUAACUAUACAUGGUCUAUUAAUGGGAAAUGUCACACAUUGGAUAGGGGAGAAAGUUUCUGACGUUAUAUAUGUAUGUGCUCCUCUUAACCUUGUAGACGUGUUUUAAAGUUAUGAGGACCCCUUUGGGUCCAAAGCGGACAAUAUCUACAUGGUUGGGUGUGGGUCGUUACAAAUGGUAUCAGAGCCGAUCUUUGAUCCCAGAGCAGGGGUUUGUUUGGACUCAUAAGGGGUGUUUGUUUGUUUGACCCUAUAAUCCCAUGGGUUACAACGAGAACGUUGUGUCUGUAUAAGGAAGUAUUCAUGAUGUCCUACAUCGGAUAGGGGAGAAAGUUCAUGACAUUAUAUAUGUAUGUGCUCUGCUUAACCUUGUAGACCCGUUUUAAAGCUGUGAGGAUCUCUUUAGACCCAAAGCGGACAAUAUUUACAUGGUUGGGUGCGAGUCGUCAAAAUUCCCACUAAUACACUGUGUGUAGUUAUACACCAUGUGCCAACUACAUUUCUGGUUUAAUGGCAUAUACAUAUUAAGAAACUUAAAGAUUUUCCUUAUUUUUUUUGUUUUUAAUAUUAAUAGAUCAAAUUAUACCUUAAUAUAGUUAUUUUAAAUUUUAAUAAUAUAUAAAUUAUAUAUUUAUAAUAUGAUGCUAAUGUCAUGGUUUGAUUGGGAUUGAACUACUUGUCCCACUAAUACACCGUGUGCCAACAACAUUCUGGUUCAAUGGCAAGUUCAAUUCUGAGAACGUUGGUUACAAUCACCUUGGACUCUACUAUUCUAGAAGUUUGAAAUAGGUUUUAACCAAUGUAAGGCUUCUCUAUUCAUCAAAAUUGUGGACCAUCCCAGUCUUUCCCCAUAUCUUUAUGCAAGCCAAAAAGAUUGCAUAGACUUUUAAAUUAAUUAAUAAACUAAAUGAUAACUAGAGUUUAUUGUUUUUAUUAAAAAAAUGUAGGUUGUGUUUUUUUUUUUUUUUGGUUAUUGGAGGGUGUGUUUUAUUGGUUAGUGGAGCUAUUAAAUUAUUGUUAUCUACCAGAAGUUUUUGAACAUUAAGAUAGUGUCAGUCUUCUCUUCUCUGAAAACUUCGAUUUUUCCUUAUUGCGUGUGGUGAUUAACAUCCAUUAUGUAUGGUAGCUCCAAAACAAUACUUCAUAGCACAUAUGAUCUGUUUCUCUAUGUUGAUCUCAAUUUUUCUUCAACUUUUAGGCGGAGGCUAAAAUACUGAGAGGGCCACACGAGGAUCUAGAAAGUUACCUAGAAGCAAUGGAUCAACUGAGAAGCAUUGUUCAUUUUUUCAACUGUAACAAAAGUUAUAAGAGCAAUGCUGGAGUGCUUAAUCAUGUCAAUAACUUACUUGCAAAAGCUAACUUAAAGAUAGAAGAGGAGUUUAGACAGCUCUUGACAUCUUACAGGUUUGUUCUUUUGCAUAUACUCAGUGUUACUAUUAUUUAUGAUUUCUUGGUUGGAACCCUGGCAAUCUCAUUCCUGGAAGCAUUGUGCUUCACAACAAAUGUUUCCUGACAUAAAUUUUCUGAGAUGAAUGAAAAUUGGUUUUUUAUUUAUAUUUUGUUUCUUGUGCAUGAAACAUAUUUUGGACUUUUGGCAAGUUCUAAUUCUUUCAAUCAGGGUUGAGUAACUGUCUUUUCAUUUGUAGCUGCUGAAGUUGUAUCUCUUUUGGAUUUCAGCAAACCAGUGGAACCUGAUCGCCUUUUUGAUUGCCUCCCCCACUCUCUACGACCAUCAUCAGGGUCUCCUGGGCAUCAGGGUGAAGCUACUGGCAAGAAUCCUUCUUCUACCAAUCACUCUGAGCACAACAAAAGCUUAGAAACUGCUGUUUACACUGCUCCAACUCUUAUUCCACCCAGGAUUCUGCCAUUGCUGCACGAUUUAGCCCAACAAAUGAGUCAAGCUGGUCACCAACAACAACUCUACAAAAUUUAUAGGUGAGAUUUUUUUAUUUUUUUUUAACUCUGUUUCUGAUGCAUUAACAUUGCCCAACAAUUUCUUUUCCUAGUAUCACGGAUUUUUAUUUUAUACACACACACACACACACACACACACACACACACACACACAUAUAAUAGAAAUAUAUUUGAGAAUUGUCAUCAUUGAAUCCCACUUCAAUGCUAUUUUUUGUUUUUAUUCUAUCUGUAAGCACAUGGUAAGCAAUCUAAAGUGAUUCUUGUUUGUAGUUAUCAUUUUUGUUUUGGAUAGGCACUUUGCCUGUAGUCAUCAUCAAUUUCUUCAUAAGCUGGGAAAAUUGAUAGUUAAUAUGUUUAUAAUCAUGCAGAGAAACCCGUGCUUCAGCUUUGGAACAGAGUCUCAGGAAAUUAGGUGUGGAAAAACUUACUAAAGAUGAUGUCCAGAAGAUGCAGUGGGAAGUUUUGGAGGCUAAGAUUGGAAAUUGGAUUCAUUUCAUGCGGAUUGCUGUAAGGGUUUACUAGGAACUGGAUAGGAUUAUUUGUGUGUGUGUGUGUGUGUGUGUGUGUGUGUACGUAUUUUCUCUUAAUCCAGCCAUUUCAUCAUGCUUGUAACAGGUCAAAUUGCUAUUUUCUGGGGAAAAGAAAGUCUGUGGUCAAAUAUUUGAUGGUGUUGAUUCUCUCAGGGAUCAAUGUUUUGCAGAAGUUACUGCAAACAGUGUAGCUGUGCUCCUUAGUUUUGGAGAUGCUAUUGCCAAAAGCAAGAGGUCCCCUGAAAAAUUAUUUGUUCUCUUAGACAUGUAUGAGAUAAUGCGAGAACUGCAUUCAGAGGUAUGAUUUAUAUAACUAGUUGCAUAAACACUGAAUUAUGGAUACUAAACUAGCCAGCAGAUUGGAAGUUGAUAUUGGUUAUGUGAAGUUUUAGUGAGCUGCUUCUAAGGUUUCCCAUAAUUUUGGAGGAAAAGCUUUGUUGCAAUUAAUGGAACCUAUAUGAAACUACUUGAGCUGUCAAUAGGCAGACAACAUAAAACAAUUUUCAUCAUUGCUUAGGAUAGAAAAUUUGCACUUUUUCCUCCAAUACCACUUGUCUCCUAUUCUUAAAAUGUGCAAGGUGCACCUAAGUUGGAAAAGUCUCCUAUGGCUUAGGCACGAGGUGCAGCACAAGGCAUGCACCUGAGUGAAGUGAAAUGCGAGUUAUGAUGUAUAGCAAUUUUAUAAAUAUGAUCCAAAAUCCAAUCCAAUCAACAAAAAACUUGAGAUUUCAAAUAUUUAAAAGAAGCAUUCAACAAAAAAGUAAUGAAAUAAUAUAAACUUCAAUAUAUAGUUAAAUUUUUUAAGAAUAAAAGUGUUUAAAAAGGAAGGGUAAAGUAGAUGAGGUGUGGCUCUCCUACAAAGUGCAUGCCUUGGCAAGUAAAGCACUAUAACUGGGGAUUAGUUUUGCCCUGAGCCUAGGCAUGCUUUAGGCGUGCCUGUUACAACUAUUUGUAAAUGAAUAGCAUAAAUAAAUGGCUUAAAGGGUUUUAACAACAAAGAUCAAAAUUCAGUUUGUUUCAUCACUGGACUAUUAGCAGAUAAUGCUUAAUUGCUACUAUGUCGGUUGUAAAAUGAAUUUGAGUGAUUCACAGCCACACCCACAGAUAUAUACACAUAUCAAGAAAUCAUUCUUGUUUGUUAUUCAUAAUUGGUUGUUCUAUUAAACAUGAAGUGUACUUUGGGAACAGAUGCAGAUUGAUAUACAUAUGUAUUGUUAAACUAAUGCAGAUUCUGUUUCUUUCUUCUUUUUUGCCCCUCUUGGGGUGUGGGGGUGGUAUUGGUGUUCAUGUUGGGGGUGAGUGUAGAUUGAAACAAUAUUUGAAGGUCAGGCCUGUGUCGAAAUGCGGGAAUCUUCAUUGAGUUUGACAAAGCGGCUAGCUCAGACGGCCCAAGAGACCUUUGGUGAUUUUGAAGAAGCCGUAGAAAAAGAUGCCACAAAAACUGCUGUUCUUGAUGGAACUGUGCAUCCUUUGACAAGCUAUGUAAUUAAUUACGUGAAGUUUUUAUUUGAGUAAGUCUAUAUAACUGUGCUGUCCAUCUCAUGCUGUUGAUCCUUUCAUAGACAGAAUCUAGUAAAAGUAUAUGUUGCCCUAUUAUUCCUUGAUAUGUUCAUCCACUUCCAAUGAAUUAUUUGUCUUGAUAGAUUUUGGAAAUGUUUCUCUGGUCUGUUGAAUUAUUCCUUAAGGUUUGUUUUUUUAUUUUUUUGGACUUAUUCCUCCUGACUAGUUCGUUCAUGGAUUUGAACAUUCAAAAUCCAUUAGUUUAUGUUUUCAAGUGUUUCAGUACUCACUUUCUGUUUUCUAAUGUCAUGUUAUUGCAUCUAUUCCCCUGUUUGGGUUAAUAUGCUUAUAUAGCUCUAUUGCACUUUCAUUUGGUAAUGUCUUGUUUCCAGAAUAUCUGACUAAUGGAUAUCAAAUGUGCACAGCUAUCAAUCGACAUUAAAGCAACUCUUCCAAGAGUUUGGUGAAGGGGAUGCUGAUGCUCAAUUAGCAUCUGUGACAACACAGAUUAUGCUGGCUCUUCAGAAUAACUUGGAUGGGAAAUCCAAGCAAUAUAAAGAUCCUGCAUUGACUCAAUUAUUUCUUAUGAAUAACAUUCACUACAUUGUCAGAUCAGUGCGAAGGUUUGUUAUAUCUUUUUAGCUUGAUUGUUGAUCUGAAUUUAUGCUGUGUAAAUAGUUUCUCCUUUUUAUUGUUCUCAUCCUUAGGUCAGAAGCAAAGGAUUUGUUGGGGGAUGAUUGGGUGCAAAUACACCGAAGGAUUGUACAGCAGCAUGCAAACCAGUAUAAGAGGGUAUCUUGGGCAAAGGUUUUGUUCUUUGACCAAACUUGAUAUAAAAUGUCCAUGAUUUGUUACUAUUUUUCCAGUGCAAUUUCUUUUUCUUAUUUAGAUGUUGUUUGUUUUUACCCCACAAUUCUACUAGCUUUAUAGAUGUGAUGUGUACCUCUCUAUUCCUGGAAUAUGAUCUUCUGAUCCUGUAUAAAUUUUCUUCUCCAUUGCUCACUUAGAACUGUCAUGAUACUGUUUGUUCUUCACCAAGGGUAAGGUUGACACACACAAAAGAUUCUUCUGUCUUUCCCUUAUUAUCUGGAUUCUGUUGAUGAGUAAGGGAUGACGGACAUGCUGGACACUAUACUGCCACAGACGCAUAAACAUAAGACAUAUUUAUCUUUCAAGUGUCUAUCUUAUGCACAUGGGUUAGUAGGCUUUGUUGAUAGAGCAGCAUGAUAAUUAUUGCGGCCUUCUAUAUGGUCUGGAUUUUUUGAAUUUAGAGCUUGCGUACAUUUAUGUAUGUUAAAUCUUCCCCAAUACUCAUUAUAUCUUUGUAUGCACUUAACUAGUUUCGUAGACAUCUUGAUACUGAUCUUCCUAAAAAUUAAGCUUCGUUGGGGAUUAUAAUUAGUUCUGGAUUGAGAAUCAUUUGGCAAUAUUUGCUGCUUACUCUUAUGGUAUAUAUCUCUAUAAGACAAAUUGCUUAUAGUUGUAGGUUGUUGGAAAUUGUUUGUUUCCAUUGAAUAAAUUGCAAGACUAUAAAUUUUAACCAUUGAUUGGACAGCAAUGUGAUAAAUGUCAUGCUGUAUUACAGUUUGGACAUGAAGCCCUUGUUUUGUUCAUGGUCCCUGAUGUAUCUUGAUAUUCAGCUAUAAAUAAAUACAAGAGGCAAAUAUUUGAGAAAGCCAUUGAAAUGUAGCCUUCUAAGAUUGUGUUGUACAGACCUACAUUAUUGUUUCUGAUUAGCAUCACUUCAAAUAUAUGCUUGAUUUUGUCUCACACUUCUGCUAGGAAAGUUAAGUAUCAAUCACGCUAAGCCACUGAUAUUUCUUGCUCUACAGAUUCUGCAGUGUCUGUCCAUUCAAGGUGCUGCUUCAUCAGGUGGUGGUGGUGCGAUUGCAGAAGCUGGUAGCGGCAGUGGAGUUUCAAGAGCGAUGGUGAAAGACAGGUACAAGACCUUCAACAUCCAGUUUGAGGAGCUUCAUCAAAGGCAAUCUCAAUGGACAGUUCCAGACAGUGAGUUGCGAGAGUCAUUGAGGCUGGCAGUUGCUGAAGUUCUCCUACCUGCCUACAGAUCUUUCAUUAAACGUUUUGGGUAUCUGUUUUCUCACACUCGUGACCUGUUCUUCUAAAAUUCCUGUUGCUUCCUUAUCCCUUGAUUGUUCAAAUGUGGUUUGGGUGUUACAGGCCUAUGAUUGAAAAUGGGAAAAACCCGCAUAAGUACAUCAGAUACACUCCUGAGGAUCUUGAGCACAUGCUGAGUGAAUUCUUUGAGGGGAAGACCCUGAAUGAACUAAAGCGGUAAAUAUACUCAAGAAGCUCUCAGUCCAUGUGAUGGCUAACACUGUUUUAUUCUUUGUACUAUGAUGCGAUCAAAUAAAAGCUGGGGUAGCCUUCCUUUCCCACUGAACGCUUUUAUUAGUGUUCUGAAGUUCUGUUGUUAUUUAACUUAUUCUUAUUUUUAAACUGCUGAAGUAUAUUUUCUGACUAGGUAACUUGAAGUAUGACUUAGCUAUAUGGGUUUAUUCUGGUAGAUUUCUUUGGGCAGAAUUUGGGUAUAUCCAAACUUAAGGCAUACCCCAUCCUGCUAAAAAUUUGUUAAGAUUUGGAAAUAGGGUAGAAAAGAAAAAAAAUAAAAUAAAAAAUAUAUAUAAAUAUAUAUAUAUAUAUAUGGGAGAAAAGUCAUGUUUUUGUUUGAUUAUGGAUAAAAAUGGGAUGUAAAAAUUGAUGAAAAUUUGAUGCAUUUUGUAACUCUUCAUUUUGUUCUUGGAAAGUGAGAGAAUUUAGGAGAUGAGUAUCGGAAAUUUUAGCAAAUUCAAAUAUAGAAUUUAUUUUCUAUCUUGUUAAUUUUGCAUUUAUAUUCUUUUUUUACUGAACCUCCUUUAUCUUUUCUCUUACAUAUACUAAAAAUAAAUACAGUGGAGAAGGAAAAAAGAAUUAAGUAAAUAAGAUACGAGUUCAAGAACCAAAAAGCCAUCUUUUUCCAUUACAUCUCACCAUUCAAAAAAGAAAAAGUAGAAUUUUGGGAACCUAAUUUCUUUUUUGGAAUAUUAAGCAAAGCAAAAUGGCAAUGAAAAGAGGUUUAUGUUUUAUAUUCUGUCUUUCCUAACCCUGAGUACAUAUGUUGGUGUGUGUAAAUUUGUGGCCUCUAGAUGCAAUAUAGUGUGCCUUGUAUGAAAAAUAUAAAUGUUAGCCCAAGGGGUUCUCCUAAUCAAGUUUUGAUGAUAACAAAACAGGUCUAAAGUUACUAAGGGUUAAAUCAAGUUAAUUGCUUCAAGUUUUCUUGAAAAAUUAAAGAAAGUUCAAACAACUCAAAUAGAAGAUUCUUGUUAAUGGAAAUUUGAGCUUAUUGAAGACUUAAGAAGGCCUAGGAACAAUUGUAAGGUUGUAUUUAAAGAUGAUGUGGAAUUUAAAUGAUUUAAUCUUGUUUUCUAUAUCAUCUGAAUCAAAAUUUCAUCUUCUAGUUAAACUUUUUGAAGAAAGGAGUCAUCACUUGAACAUUUUUUUAUUUGGUAGUUAUAACUUGAACUGUUACUAACAAAUUGAAAGGACUCACAAUAUAUUUUAAAUUUUGAAAAUGACCAUGUUCAUGUUACAACUUGCAGUAUAAACAAUUUGCAAAGCUUAAAAGAUGAAGUAGAUUAAUUCAAUUUUUUUUAGGUGAUCGUGAAUGCUUCCUAAUUAAAUUUCCUUCUUGUAAACCAUUUUAAUUAUGCUUCCAGGUGCAAAUAAAAUAUCCUCUGCUGCUCAUAACAGGUUCUUAUAGUCAUGAUUCAAUAAAUGUUUGUAGAGACCUAGUUCCUUUUGAGGAAGUGGAUUGCAACAUGGCCAGUGAUGUAAGAGUAACUGGUGUUAGAACUGAUGUUGAGGCAAACUGUUCCUGUUAUGCACAUGGUGCCAAAAAGAGAGUUUGGGAGCCUCAUUGUCUUCACUGAGGUCCAAAGAAGUGAAGGAAAGCCAUCAAAUUGGCUGCCAGUUAGAUUCCAACUGGGAUAUUGUUUCGGGAAAUGGUAAAAUAGAUAAUGCAUGCUUUGCUGGAUGCUCCUUGGGAGCUACUAGAAAUGAAUCUUUGGCUGAAUUUUCCCUAGGGAUAUUCUGGCCAGGAGCUAUGUAGAGAAGAAUGUUGAAGAUCGUAGGCCACUAUCAAAAGAGCAGCUCGGUGCACUUGAGUCAUUAAAAUUUUUAAUGCACUUAAGCUUUUAAAAAUCAUCCUUUCUUGAACUUAAAUCAAUCACAUCUUCAUCAGGUCAGAUGAUUUCAUGUUUUUUUAUCAAACCCUGAUUUUAAUUCUUUCAAAAUAUGCAUUAAAGGGUUUAUAUGGUGUGUAAGAUUCUUUCCCAGAGGUUUCUGACCUCGGUCUAGCCUUUUUUCUUUAGUUAUAGUGUAACUGGUCAAGACAGGGAGGAAUUGGUUGAGCCAAAAAGGCUCGAUCAGUCAAGGUGCACAAAAUGCAUCUCUAACUUCUAGUAGCAUUUUUUAACUGGUUACGGUAGGAGGCUCAACCAGUUGCUCAAUCGGUUGAGGUCUAGAACCCCAACAGUCACCUGCAAGUACAUUUAAUGUACAAUUGCCAAUGAACUAGUCAAACCGAUUGCUUGACCAAUCAAGCCUAAGUUAUGGGUUCUUGGGUUUCAGAGCUACUCACCUAUAUAUUGAGUCUUUUAAGAGCAUUUAUGAACAAGAGAUUUUGAAAUUGGGAUAAUUUCCAAAUGGAUUUUGAAAUCAUAACUUGAAUUUCCAAAUCAUUUCGAAAUGGUCCUUCAGCCUUGUGCAGUUGUCUUCAAAUGACCCUAACUUCUUCAUUUUAGCUCCGAUUUAUGCACCGUUUGAAGCAUUGGACUCUUGACUUCCCGAGCUUUGAAACAAUCUAUAGCUUGCCCAAAAUUGACCUUGGGAAGUGCUUCAGAUUUUACCUUAAAGUCAGAGUAUGUGUUGCUGCCAGAUUUUGAAUUCUAAAUUUCCAUGUCAACUUGAUUGCAUUUGUUUCAAACCUCCUCCAUUAUAGUUGCUUGCCCUUUAUCUCACUCCAUAACAUCCGUUGCUAGUAUUUUAUGUCUAUGAGUCACUCAUCACGCCCUUGCUUGGACUCGUCAUGGUUCACAAGUCCUGAAUCUCUUCUUUAUGCAUGUUUUACCACUUCUACUUCCUUGGAUGAUAAUGAAUUUUAUACUCAUCACAUUUUUCAUCCCUUAAACCUGAAUUAGGCUCAAAAUAGAAGUUAGAUCCAUAACUAGGGUCUUAGCAUCAAUUUGAUUUAAGUUGGAUGAUUUGAGUUUUUUUAUAUUCCAUAAAUCAUGUCAUAUAUGUGCUAUUGGAGCACAUAUUUUGGCUCUAAUCAGGUCUCAAGUUGUCUCCUCGAGCUUGGUUUGAUUGUUUUACCAAAGCCGUAAAGAGGUUUGGCCAUUCUCAGUGUCAAUUUAACCAUACUCUAUUUGUAAAACACACACCUGAGGGAAGAACUGUCGUUAUCAUCGUUUAUGUGGAUGACAUAAUUCUGACCAGAAACCAUAGGGAAGAAAUAGGCAAACUCAAGAGUUUUCUUACCUAUGAAUUCAAAAUUAAAGACUUGAAGAGUCUUAAAUAUUUUCUUGGGAUGGAAAUUGCUAGAUAAAAAUAAGUAUUGUAGUCUCCCAACAUAAGUAUGUUCUAGACUUGCUAAAGGAGACUAGGAUGCUUGGUUGUAAACCUACAAACACAUCUAUGGACCACACUAUUAAACUAGGAAUUAUUGAAGGAAGUUCUCUAGUGGAUAAAGGGAGAUAUCAAAGAUUUGUGGGGAAACUCAUCUCUCUCUCACACACAAAACCAAAUGUUGCUUUUUUUAGUCAACGUGGAUAGUCAAUUCUUGAACAAUCCAAUUGAGGAAUAUAUGAAAGUUGUGUAUCGUAUUCUAAAAUAUCUCAAAAUGACUCUAGGAAAGGGACUUUAUUUCAAAAGAGCACAAAAAAGAAACAUUGAAUUUUUUUCAAAUGUAGACUAGGAUGGUUCCGUAACCGAUUGAAGAUCAAUCUCAGGAUAUUGCACCUAUGUAUGGAGGAAUUUGGUUACUUGGCGAAGCAAGAAAUAGUCUAUUGUAGCUCGAAGUAACGCAAAAGUAGAAUUUAGAGCUAUGACACAUGGAAUUUGUAGAGGAAUGUGGUUAAAGAGACUCUUAAACAAGCUGAAAAUUUUAGUAGAAGAUUCUGUAAAGAUGUUCUGUGACAAUCAAGUUGUCAUAAUUAUUGCUAAGAACCUGGUUUAUCAUUAUUAGAAGAAGCAUGUAGAAAUAGACCGUCAUUUUAUAGGGAGAAGCUAGAAGAAGGGAGAAUUUAAUUGGUUUACACUCCAAUAGCUCUCUACAUACCAGACAUCCUUACCAAGGCACUUUCUAGAACCAACUUUGAAGAUUUGAGAUUCAAGUUAGGAAUAAUCAACAUUUACAAUCUAGUUUGAGGGGAUGUGUGGAAAUUUAGAAUUUACAGCUGGGUUAACAACCAUGUUAUAGCUACAACUAUGUUACAAUUAUAUUAUAGUUGUGUGAUAGCUAGGGAUUCAAAUGUUGUUUUUUGUUUCAGCGAUAUUUUGUCGAUAUAUCGUGUAUGAGUGUAGCUUGACAUGAUAACGGGCAUGGAUAUCUCGACUGAGAGAGAGAUCAUUUUUUCUUGCCAUUUAUUGAGGGUUUUUUUGGCAAAGUUCCAGAUUUGCACCAAUAUUUCAGAUAUAUCAACAAUUUUCAGCCACGUUAGCAUGUUGUGUCAGCGAUAUUUUUCAGCUUUUACUUAAAAUUUUUGAAAUAUGGGCCUGAAGUAAGAGACACCCAUUUUUUUUGUGACAACUGAUGGAGCCUAAUUUUACAUGUGAUGAUACUUGGGGCACCAACACUUCAAAUAUGGGAAUGUUUUCUCUUCACUUUCAUGCAAGUUAGGGAAUUGAUCUUGAGACCUUAAGAAUGAAAAGGUUUGUCCUUGCCACCAAACUAACUAUACUUUGCUUAUACAAGCACAUAUUAAAAUAUAUAUAUAUAUAUAUAUAUAUAAAUUACUUAAAAUAAAAAAAAAUGAGUUAAUUUUAAUUAUGUCUUUUAUAUAAUAAUUAGGUAUAAGAUAAAUAUAAACUUAUAAAUAAAAUUAUCAAUAUUUUUAAAUAAAAAAUACUAACAUAUCAUCAUUUCUUUUAUAUCAUUUGAAUAUCCAAACUAAAUAUAUUAUCAUUUUAGUUUUUAUGUAUUAUCAAAUUCAAUAUAUUAUUGUCAAAUAUUAUAAUUUGUUUUAUCGAUAUUUUUAUAUUAAAGUUUCCAUCAAUAUUUCCUUAUAUAUCCCGAUAUAUCCAUAAAAUCUAACUACUGAUAUAUCCAUGAACACCGAUAUUUUCAUCCUUGGUGAUAGUUGUGUUAUAGUUGUGACACAACUGUGUUGUUGUAUUUCUAAUUUUAACUUACUCCCUUAUUUUAUUUUGUGAGAGAUUUUUUCUCCUAAAAUAAAAAAUUAGAUUUCUUUUCUAAGGCAGAUGACCUCAAUCGUUUGUGCAUAAAUAUUGGUACUAUAAUCAAUUUGCAAUAUAGAGAAAAAGUAUUUUUUUCCCUCAAAUUUCUUUAGUUUUUAUAGAUUUCUUGUUACAAGUUUAGACUGUUAUGAUAGUUUUAAAUGUGUGGAUGGUUUUCUUUUCCUUCCAUAGAAUAUGGUAUAUGAAAUGCGCAAGUUUUCUAUCUACUUUUGGUAUAAUUUGUUUAUAUGGAUAUGGAUUAACCAUGUAGUACCACCUACACUAUUUCAUCAGUACUAGUGGAAUAUGGUAUUGACUCAUAGCUGCCAUCAACAAUUCAUUCCACUAGCCAAAUCACCCAUAUUGUGCCAUCAAUCACAGGUUCCUCAAGCAUGUUGAAGUGUCUAUUAUAUGUCUUAUAGCAUACUGUCAGAAAUGUAAUUAUAAUAGGAAAUUAUUUUGUUGAGUGUUUUUUCUAUUAGUUUUUCUUUUUUUUUUAGUUAAAUUUUUGUUUCCAUUGGGACUUGAACCUGGUAGCUCCCACAAACCCUCCCCAACCCUUUACCACUUGAUUCCAGCCCCAAGGGUGAGUGUUUUCUCUAUUAGUUAUUACACUGUCGAGGACAUUUGACUUAAGAUACCAUCUUGUAAUGUAAACCCAUCUUAAGUCCUCUUCUAGUUCUUCCUAAUACAUUGAGAAAUUCCUUUUUCCACUAGAUGCAGGUUUUUGAAUUCUGCAUGAAUAAUGAUUGGUACCAUAUUAUGUUAGGCGAUUGGUACCAUAUUUGACCUUAGAAUCCCUCCUCCCCAUCUACCUGCAUGAUUUAAGGAUUAGAGAGUGCAACUGUGACAGUUUUGUGCUUUCAGUGGAGAUGCUAUUAAUGAAGUUGGUCCGCACUAGUAAUAGGAUGACCAAUAAAUGCAUUUUGGGGUGAGGUCAAAUUGAAAACUGAAAACAAAUCCAUCUCUGGCAGCUGUCUUGCCUUACUUUUGCCAAAAAAAGCACCCAUUUCCAUGCUGAAGCACCAGCUACUACUGUAGAGGGCCUCUAAUCUCCAUACACUAUGUGAGCAACUUAUAAUCAUUGUUUCUGUUUCUGUUUCAUUGUAAAUAAAUUCCUAAAAUGAUAUGGCAAUAAUUUUGUUUGUGAGUCAUAUUCUAGGCAAUGAAGAUCACAUGAAUGAAAUGAAGUUAUUACAAAGUUAGAAAACAGUGGUAAAGAUAAGGUUAUCUCAUGUUAUAAUAUAUGUGCACACAAAUGCAUUUUAAUGAAAAAGUGACAUAUCUGAUAAAAGAAAAAGGAAAUCUUUUCCCGUUGCCCCUUCAUCCAUAGUCCUUUUCUUGGCAAAUAGCAAUGCACUCAGACCAAGCAUAACUGAGUCAUAUCUUAAGUUACCUAUAUAUGUAGAUGCAUACACAUUCUAUUUUCUUUGGAGAUGUUUUGAAUCUCCAGAUCACUGAAACUCUCUCUUGCUUUUGGUUGGUGCUCUGAGCACCUUGUUGCUGCCAACUCAACAAACACUAAAAAGAUGACAAGAUGAUUUUGAUGGUUAUUUACUAAGCUUGCAGUAAGAUAAGGACUUUUCUUUUUAUUACCUUUCCUUCCUAUUUGGUCUGUGAUUGACAAGGAAAUAAAGAUAGUUCUUGAUUAUAAUCAGGAGUGUCUUUUUCCUUCUUCAAUCUCAGACUACACUUUAUUCUUCAUUUCUAUUUGCCUCUUUUUGACCUAAGAAUCUCUCUCUCUCUCUCUCUCUCUCUUUCUCUCUCUAGUGUGUUUUUUGAUUUCUAAUGAAUAUCACACUCUGAGGAGAAUGUCUUGAAGCUGAAUGCCUCAAGUAAAAGGGAUGAUUCAAAAUAGACAAUUACUACUUGAAAAGGCUCUCAUAAGAAAAAAUGCAUAUCAGAAGCAACAUCAAGGACACUGCACUUAUAAAUGCUUUACAAUAAUAUUAGCUGGGGAAGAAGUGGCAUCGGCAAAGUGGAAAGCAAACAAUUUCUGCCUGAUUUUGGAUGCAGAAAAUUUGGUUAUUUUUUAGAAUUACUAGAGAUGGUGUCAUUGACAAUUGAGGGAAAGGAAACAUUGGAGAGAGCAGCUUUACCUAGAUGCUUUAACUGCUAGCAAAACCAAAUACUCAACCAUAUGAUGUUGCUCAGGUGAAUGCUGAUCUGAAACUCAAUAUGACCUGAUAAUUCUUAGUUCCGUCUUAUCUAUUGUCCUGUAUUUUUUUUUUCUUUUUAUAAUGCAAAUUGAAUAUUCUUUGUUGACUGAUAAUUUGAUAGAUGUCUGACAUGUCAUGAGAAAACACCUGCUGAGAGAUCAAGCAGGAGAACAGAGAGGAUCCAUGCUGUGCUUUGACCUCAAGAACCAAAGGAGUUUAGUAGUUGGAGUUAUUGAAGAAACCAAAAAAAAAAAUUAUGGUGAGAACAUGGAAGAAAAGCAUAAGUUGCAUGAUUCUAGGUUUCAUUGACAGGACAUGAUUAUUAAAUUGGAGAAAGAAUUAGAGGCUAAGUUAUUUACACUAGACAUAUAGCACAAAUGGUUAAGUUUUCUUAAUCUGUAAAAAAGUGAUAAUAUCCUUAUAAAUGUCUCACAUUUGAUCUCAUGUUUAACUAGUAAAUUUCAAGAAAUUAGUUAUAAAUCUUCCAUUGAGAUGCAAUUAUAUUGAUAACAUUUUGCCUUUAUAUUUGGUUUGCUGUAGAAUUACUUUUUAUAUCAGAAGUUGGUGGAAAAAUGAUAUUUCUCUUUCUGGGAUAAGGACAUGGUAACAUUCUCCCAACUUCUGCCUUAGAUCCUUUGGCUGCUUCUGUGUUUAAUUGAUGUUAUGAAUGAUGUAAUUGGGGAGGGUAAAGUAAAUUGGAUUGUAACAAUAAUGACACAACUUUGGCGCUCUCUCUCACACACAGAUGCUCGGUUGCUCACUCACUCAUAUGUGCAUGCUCACAUGCACCGAUAGGUUUUUAAAUGUUUAAUGCUAUUAUAUUUGACUAGUUUGUUUAAGAAUUUAAUUUUACUAAUAAUUGUCUCUCACGUGCUUGUCCAAUAUUUAUAUGUAUAUAUCUGUAUCUCAGGCACACAUAAUUAGGUUGAUUAAAGGUUUGUUGCUACUAUAUUUGCUUUGAGGUAGGUUUUCUUGGCCUUCAUCUUUGUCCCUUAGCACCUUGAACUUGAAUCAAAUCACUCCUCCCACUCUAAUUCAUUUUUUUCCAUUGCAGCCCACAUUCAAAAUACCAAAGCCUUGCAAAUUGAAGGUGAUAGACCCAGGUAAAUCUUUGCACUGAUUCUGUUUCUCAUUAAUAGUGAAUCUCUGUCAUCCAUCACUACUCAAAGAGGUUCAUAUGUUUUUGCUUUUUCUUCAAGUUUCAUAUUGUUAUAGGGUUUUAUUUGUUCAACUUAGUCAAAAAUUUCACUUGCUUAUUCUGUUAGAUUCUUACAUCAAUGGAAAUUUCUGGGUGAAAGCAUACUUCGCCUGCUCAGCUUGCCACUUGGGGCAGCCACUUCACUCACAGAUUAGCAUUUCAGGUUAACAAGUUGAUAGCUGUGUUCCAAUCAUGGUUAUUGAUUUUGAACUACUUCAAGCAGGUUAGCUUUCACUAGUAAACCUUAUUUGCUAGAGCCAAUGGUAUCAUAAUAUGUUAGAUUGCAAAUUGUAAGCUUUGGUGAAGGUGUCUUCAAUGCUGGAUGGCUUCUUUGUGUGCAGAGACCAAUACAGGUCUGAGUUCGCCAGUAACUCUCAUUUGAAAGCAAUCGGGGCUAUGGCAUCAUCAUAGCCCUCUCCUCGAUUAAUGGCCAUACUAAAUUGCUUAACAUAGUCUUGUACACUUUCCCUUUCAUUCAUUUGGAUAUUAAGGAGGGAAGAAUCCAUGUCUCUUCUUUGCCGAAAAGAACACAUAUGUUGAGCCACAAUUGUUGUGCACAAUUUUUAAGAAAGAAGAAAUAGACCCGCUCGAGAGAUUAUGGAACUAAAUGAGGGGUGGGCUUUGCAGACUUGUUGGGAAUGCGUUGCAAAGCCCUGCAUCAGGAUGAUGAGCUGACAAAAAUGCAUUAAAUGGUCAACCAGGUCUCCCAUGCCAUAAUAUGGAUGUAAUUUUGGAAACACAAACCUGGUUGGGAUUCUUGCAUUAGUGAACAAGCUGUUGACUAAGCCCCGAAUGAUUUGACUCACAAAUUGUUGUCUUCUUCCUAUUCAUAGCAUCCUUUGAAAAUCAUCCAACUGCUCUUCAAUAGUGCCUUUUUCCUUGAAGGUAUGAAUAGCCUCAUUCCUUACCAACUUAUCUUCUUCCAAGGUUGGGGGUGACUCUUCUCGGUGAGAUUGAUUUGUCUCAUGCAAAACGAUAGUGUCAAGGGAGAAGUAGAACGAUAGGAGUGUAACAAUGCUUGAAGCUCUUAAUUGUCCCUAGCCAAAGUAUCCUCUAUUUGAGAUAGAGAUUGCAUUCUUUGCUCAAGCCGGAGUUGUUGUUGCUCUGGCCAUAACUGUAGUCGACAAAGAGGCUCUUCCCCUGAAGGGCCCUUUCCAUUGUAGUGUAGGGAUGCAACUUGGCUAACCCGACCAACUUGAGGUUUGAGUUGGCAUGGGUAAUAUGUGAAGGGUUUGAGUUAGAAAAAUACCCAAAUCGACGAUAUCAAGACGGGUGAAACCUGAACCCAUGUUUUAUUUAAAAUAUGAAAAAUAUAUAUAAAAAAAGGAUGAUAGAACUUUAUCCUUUACCUUUUACAAUUGUAGGAUACUAAUAAGUUUAUCAUUUUUGUUUAAUUAUUUAAAUAUUUUUAACUUGAGUUUAGAGUUAUUAUUUAUGUUAAAUUAGCAAUUAAUAAAUAUAUUUGAUUGCUUUAAGACAUCUUUGGCAUUUAUGGUUGAUAUUUUAUAACUUUGAAAUAAAUAUUUUAUUUAGCAAGAAACUCUAUUAUAGGUCUUUUAGUUGACAAUAUGUAUGAGAACUUUUAGAAAUUUGAGUUGUCUGUGGGCUUAGCAUGGGUUGAGAAUUCCUGAAAACUAUUUCCAAAUCUCCAACAUUUUCAAAAAAUUUAAUUGAAAGUUGUCUUACAAUUCCAAUUGAAUUUUAAAGUUGUUUUUUUCCAAAACAUUUUUCCAUAUUUAUAUUGAAAUUUUGUCUUCAAUGGACAACUUUUAAUUGAUGUUAUUUCAAUUGAUAUUAUAAAAAAUAAGGUGGUAGAUUUAGAAAUAAUUUUUAAAAUAUCAAAUUUUAAUAAAUAUUUUUUUUUUCAAAAAUCUGAUAAACAAUCUCAGCACAUGAUAACCUUCCAAUCCAUCCUACUUAAGUGCUAUGGGUGUUGUGGUUGGGAUGUCACUGAAAUAACCUCCGUCCUCUCUCAUUUUUGCGGCCGGUGGUUAUUCUCAUUGACGGUGCCAAGACAUUGAGUAUUUUCUCUUCUUUCUGCUCGAUUUUAUAGAUAUUUUGGGAACAAGUUACCAAGUGGUAAUAUUAUGGGUAAUGGAGUGAGAGUGGUAGGAUCAACCACAGUCAGCUGGAUGCCCAUAUCUUUGACAGAUGGUAUUCCUCAACUAUGUCGGGUUCCUAGCUUUGUACCCCUUCUAUCUAGUACCUACAUAAAUUCUAAUUUUUUACAAUUUUUAUUGAGUUCUAAUAUUAGUCAAUUUUUAAAGACAACUGAUGUAAAAAUAUUUUUACCAAGUUUAAGCAACUGAUUAGAGGUAUUUUUUGUAAUUUAUUUUGAAAGGCUAAUCAUUUUUAAAAAUAAUUUAUAAAUAUAAAUAUAUUAUAUAACCAUCCUUUUAUGUAAAAAUUUUUUUUUUUUUUUUUUAAAGUAUCUGUUCUAUUUCUAUUCUUUUAAGACCUUUACUUCUCAAUGAAAGUCCACUGGACUGUUAGUAUUUUAAUGAAAUUGUUGCAGCUCUUUGUUUCCUGGAUUGAAGAAUGCUAUUAAUUGUCCAGGUUUUGGUCUUUAUAUAUAUUUUUUCCCUUAUGUGUUGGUUGAAUUUUAGGUAUAUAAUGUGCAUGUUUGCAUAUUUUCAUAAUUGUCAGAAUAAUUCUAUAAUUUCUUGUUCACAUGGAGUCUAUCUAUACCAUUUUCAUUAUACCAGAAAAUUUCUAAGUUGCCCUCGUAGUUGGUAUAUAAUUUACAUCUCUUUUUAUAAUCAAAAUUUAGUAGCUCUCAAAAAAGUUAUAUUUAUUGGCUUAUCUUCAACUUAUGUUUUUUAUUUUCUUUUUUGGUUAGGUUUUUCCAUAUUCUCAUGUGUUAUUUCUUCUACUUUACCUAGUAAAGGUGAAGGCACCUUGAGCACUAGGAGAUGGGUGCUUUUACCACUCAUUAGUCAUUUCCAUAUUAAAUAUAACAAUAACCUGAUGCAUGUGGUUCUGAAUCAGAUGUUUAUGUAAUGAUUAGCAAAGCAAACACAUUAGACUCUAAUCAUUGCUACCUGUGAGUCUAUUUGUUCAAAUAAUUACGAAUAGGAAGCUUAAGCCUCACAAGACACAGUCCUAUUGCUUCACUAGAUGAGAAAACCUUCCUUGCUAUAUGCAAGCCAGUAUUGGAGUGGCUAUUUGUCUACUAACCAGAUUCUUCAAGACCUCGAAUUCUAAGAUUAUAGGUUUGGCUAAUAAAAAGAGUCUGCCUUUGGAUAUGUCAUUCAUUAAUUGACAGAAGUAAGCCUUCCAUACAAGGAAAUAUAUGUGUGCGCCUAUAUAUUUAGAGAUAUAUAUUACAGUUGCAAUAAAUCUUAGGCAUAUUGAGAACUUUUUAACUAGUGUUGAAUUUUUGAUGUGGUUACUUUUGUUCCAGAUUAACAAUAAGAAAAUCUGUGCUUUAUGAUGCUGGUACUCUUGUUGGUAUGUAUUUCCAAGAGUCAAACCUGUGACUUCCAAAUCUUAUGAGAAGUACAUGUUAAAUUAUCAAAGUUCAGCUAUUUUUUCUUCUUUUAUAUAUCUUGGGGACAAAAGGAAGUGUUUGUGCAACGUAGUGUGCCUUCCUGGAAAAUUUGCUCGUUUUAAAAUAUCAUUGAUAGUAUGGUUAUAUCAAGAAACUAUCUUUUCAACUUAUAGCAAAUAAGAGACAUGAAUCUUUUUCUUUUAUUUGUUACACCUAUGAUCCAAUCUUACAUGGAACAUAAAUCACUAGCAUAUCAGACAAUGGAGCAUAGAUUGUUAUGAUAUGGGGAAUGGAAAUGAGUACACAAAACAGUAUAUAAACUGGAACGUGGUAAAUCAGGUUAGGCUUAAAUGGUCCAUCGAUUGGUUAUUAAAAAUUAGAUUGUUGUAAGAUAAAUGCAAUAAUACCUUUUUUUUCCCAUUUCUAUAGAAGGGGCUAUAUGUUGGUAGUUCUCUCUCCUUUUUGGCAACUUUUUAUUUUUUCCUUUAAAAUGGAUUGACCAUGUAAUGCCACAAAACUACUUAUUUCAUAUUUCUGUUAUUCUUUUGGUAUGUUAUAACUGUUGAUCCAGUUUGCUUUAAAGACUUGUAUCCUCUUGCAUUUUGUUAACUAUUUGUAAUCUUGUUUUGUAAAAUUCAAUGAUAUAUUAAGGUUUAGUUUUUGACCUCUUCAAGCUUGUUUUCUAAUUGUUCAUUUUUCUUAGCUCUUUUUUGAAACCUUAAGCCCGCUUCCUUGUUUUUCAGCUAGUUUCAUUUGGAAAUCUACAUCCCCACCUAAAGCAAAAGCCUUUUGUAUGGUCAGUGGCAAAUAAGCAACACCAACAAGAAGCUAUAGGUGAGCAGGCCUUAUAAAGGUUUUUGUUUAAAUUGUGUUUAUGUGCUUGUGGCAUGGUGAAUCAGUUGGUUAUAACUUUCUUCACUGCCUAUUUGCUUUAGGGAUUUGUUAUAAGUUGUUUGCAUAGCUGGGAUAGACAGGGUUUCUCAGAAUUUUGACAAAUAGGAUGAUUAUCUCUUUUAAGGAGUUUGGGAGACUCCCUAGAGGUGGAAUUCUUCGGUAAUUGGUGAGCCUCACUUUGAUUUGGAUAAGGUCAAUAAUUUUGUCAAGAAUUCGGUUGAUUUAUUUUCUUCUCUAUGACUUUAUAUUUUUGAAGCUUUGAACAGGUACUCCCUUGAAUCGCAUUUUGCUAUAUUGAAACGAAGCAGUACCAAAAUUUUUAUAGGAGUGAAGUGAGUUGAGCAUGUACAUGUUUGUCCUGUAGAGGGAGUGUAUGUAUGGAGUAAACUUUUAUUCUGAGGAGAUUUUUUCCAUUGAUUUACACGUGUGUGUGUGUGUGUGUUUGCAUUUAAUGGUUUGUUUAGUUGUCUGUUUCACAACAACAGAGAUAGGUUUCAUCUUGAAGAAUGCUUGCUGCAUGUAUUACUGAAAAUUCCAAGUACCCUAUUUCUUGAAUAAAAUUGAAGGAGAUAUUUUUUUGAGGGCUUGAUCAGCAUGGAAACAAGUAUCUUUUACUAGCUUUAUGGUGUGGUUGUGAGCAAUUGAGAUAGGAUCCGACUGAGAUGGUCCAGUUUUAGUCUGGACAAACCAUUUUGCCCCAGGUUUCGCUUUUCAAAAGCCAAGGUUUUGGAAACUGAUGUGCACCUUGUAAAUUCUAAUUAGUAUAUUGAACAACUUUGAUAAGAUUCCCUCUCACAAGCAAAGGGGCCCUACUGUAUUGGACUCCAUCAGGCUGAUUAAGACCCCCAGAAUGGACAUUAAAAGAGACGCUUUCAACUUAUUGGACGUUGAACUUACUUUUUGAUUGCAAAAAUGAAGAGGACCUUGUUCAAAUGCAUCAGUAGAAUGGCCAAGUUGUGGUGUAAAGUCUGUUUGUAGAAUGUGAAAAAUAUUCACCUUUUCCAGUGGUUUUUAAGGACAAGCCUAUGGUAUAUGGUAGAGUUAAAUCUCUUUAAAUAUGGAGGAGGUAGAUUGCCUUGAAAUCAUAUAAUCCCAAUUCAUUCUAUUACGGUAACUUUCGGGCAUUAAAGUUACUUUAAGCGUGGCUGAAUUAAUACCACAUGUCCUGUUAUAGUGUCAAAGAGACGCCUAAGUUUGGUUUGCUUUCAAUUCCAUAAUGCCCUUGAAAGUGACAUUAUAUUGAGACGUCCUAAUGGUCAUUUAAUAUUUUUUAUUUUUCCCCUUUUAGGUUUUUUAUUGUUGAACUUGCUUCCAUAUGAAAUACUGAGACUGAUGUGGAUGUCAUUGUUGUGAGCUCCAUCUAUCUUCCUUGCGUUAUCUGAACUCAGGUUGCUGUUACAAGAUUCCCCUAACAAGGCUUUCUUUAGUUUAGACCAUCUAAUCUCACUAAACAAAGCCUUCAUGUGGUCCAUUCUUGACUUAAAUUUGAAAAUCUUGCUGGCAUGAUGAGAGAUGCAAUAUAUUAUAUAUUAUAUAUUUAUAUUUAUAUUGAUGUAAAGCUUCCUCUGUAUACUUGUGUAUUUGGAUUUCUUAAAAUUCAUUUCUUUGCUUGCCAUGACUUCGUUUUUCUUACCCUCUAUUUGUUUGUUUUCUGCCCUGGAGAAUUUCCCAUCAUCCAAACAGUCUUUUCUCCCUCUGAUUUUUUUUUUUUUUUUAAAAUCUCUUCUCCCCACGCUUUAUUCCUUCUACUUUAUAGAGUUUUGUCCCUUGCACUAGCACUGCUCAUGGAAUUUGGAAAGUGAGCUUGAUACAAAAACUGAGCGCCUUUCCUGUAAUCCAGCAAUGUGGGCAUCAUCUGUGCGAUGGGAGUGCACACCACGCGCAGACCUUGAAAAAAAGAGGAUAUAACUGCUCUGAAAAUUAUGCGGAUGUUAGAGGUUCAAAGAAGAUCUUGUAGGGACUUCUUAUCAGUACAACGUGGUAAGACUCGAGUCUGUGAAAGCCAAGCUUUUGGGAUCCCCCUCCUAGGUAUAUACACCCACCACACGUCUCUGCCCACCGAUAAUCCUUAGCUUCUACACGCUGGUUAGCCAACCUUUCUCCCUCUGUUCUGUCGGAAUCGGUUCAGAAUUUGGCGGGGGUUCUCUGCACCUGCCAUGUGUCUCACUACUCCCCAAAACCUAAUCAUUUUUCACUCGAGGGCAUUGUGGUAAAGAAUGACUUCGGGGUUUUGACUAGUCAUACGAGCAUUGAAUUCUCAUUUUUAUCUAUUUAUUUAUUUUUUAUAUGCUCCCAUUUGUCCUGUAACUAUUCACUUCCAAUAGUUUCAUUGGCCGUGACAAUAACAAUUGAUUUUUAACCAAUUGAUGGAGAAAACUAAUCAUACGCUUAAAAUAGACUCUAUACAAUUCAACAGUUGGAGUGCGACAUGCAUAACUAAAUGGGCACUGCCUUUUUAAAAGGUCCCCCACCAUCUAAAACAAUAUGACAAUGUCCAUGGACCAAAGUGUGUGAUCAAUUUGGUGGUCUUGCCUUGGAAUAUUUUAGGUUGAGCCGGUUUGUUUUCUCCUAAAUUUUAUUUCAGUUUAGUCUUGCAAUCUCGACCACUCUUAAUAUCCAAUUCCCAAGUUGUAUAGACAGCCAUUACAAACGAUAAGGACCAGGUGGCUCCCACCUAAAUUAUUCACAAGCUGUUUGCCCCAUUUCUCUUGUCAUAUUGUGCCACAGAGAGAUGUUAAAUUUAUUGAUUUCAGAUUACUCAAUCAUCAUGAUUUAAUUGUUGGCGGUUCCCAAAAUGUCAUCCAAACAUGAUGGAUUAGUAGAACAAAAAUAAUAAUAAUAAAAAAUCAAAAGUAGACUCCCCCCGAUUAGCAAAGUAAACGAUGGUCAUCGGUUGCAUCCAUUUUAUUUGUGGGAGGUGCAAAUUGUGUUACGAAAGUGGGGGUGAAGGAGAAUAUGAUGAGAAGGAAAGUAGGUGGAACAUCGCUUUUAAUAAUUGAGAUUGAGAAAGAGAAGAGGAUGAGGGGAUGAGACAAGGGCCUUUCUAUUAUUUUAUUUCACUGUUAUUAUGGUCGCACUCUCUUUGAUCAUCUCCUUGUCACGAAUUUGAAAUUUCUUCCAUCUCCCUUCCUUUUCACUCUUUAUCAUGUUAGGAACUUAGGGCUUAGGACUUUAGUUUCCACCGCCCACUACAACCUCCUCUCAAAUCUUCCGACACCAACUCUUCAGUUACCCAUCUAGAAACUAUCUUCUAAUGAGACCUACUUAGUCUUUCUCCUACUGUCAAUUAAAAUCGAAGAUAAAUUAUUUGUUUAUGAGAUAAAGUGUGCCUUACGAAACUUCCAACCAAUUUCAUACCAACCACUGUUAGGCCACUUGAUAUGGGUCCCAAGUGACUCGCGGUCAACACACUCUUCUUUGAAAUGAACCUCUUUUGCCCAAUUUUGACUAGUCAAAUUCACAUUCAAUCUACCACGGUACCACCUAAUAAAUUGAAAUUAAUUAUCCUCUGCUUUUUAUUUUUAUUUUUGUUUCAUUACAAAAGAAAUUUUUUUUGGCCCUUGUGCAUAUUGGAGGCGAUACAGCCCAUGUCGCUGGAGUAUUUAUUCAGUUGAUGCAAGUAUUCUGACUUAUUGAAUAACUUUUACUCUUAAAUAUUAAUGCUCACUUACCCUGUUAGAAGAAAACGAUCAUCUUGAGACUGACAAGAAAGCGAGAGGAUUCAAAAUUUCAGCCUGUUUAUGCUGUGGCAAUCAUUCGACUUUGCUGAAAAUGAUUUCUUCUGCCUAAUUUUUUGUUAUUAGUAUGUGGAAUGAAUGAGUGGAGAGCAAGAAAAAUUUUGCGCCUUCGUGUACGUGUACUGCGUUCGGAAUUGAUCAUAGGUGAGGCCUAUGAAUGUAUCAUUCUAGAUGGAAAUUAAGUACAAGUACAAAUUAAGAGAAAAGUGGAAACAAAAAGAGUGGAGAAAUGCUCAAGGCCACUUAAUUAAAUAAGCCCACAAUUAAGAAAAUGCAAUUGUACUUGUGACCCAUAUGCCCUGAAAAUAUGUGACCCAUAUGCCCCUUCAUUCUCUCUCUUAUAGGCUGUAUAUCAAGUUCGGUUAACUUUUGGAUGCUACUGCGUGUAUAUUCUAGAACAUCAAAAUGGUCGGCUGGGUGAGCUGGGAUCCUCCGGGUGAUGAUAAAGUGGGGUCCAGUCAUGGCCGCGACGUGUUUUGAUCUAACCUAUUCAAUCUGACAUCCGACGGUCAUCAAGCUACAUGCGCUUUGAACCACUUUAUUCAGCAUCAUAUAAAGGUAAGCCCGUCAUAACAAAAUAACACCUUUAGGAAAGUCAGGAUGCCUUUAUUUCUUAGGCACUUGAAAAGUCAUAGGCCUUUUUCAUCCAUUGAAGUUUGCUCAUUCAUUCAUGAUUUAUAUAUAUAUAUAGAUUUUUGUGUGUCGUAGGACCUUUAUUUAACCAGAAAGUUCCCACUGAUAAAAGGGAAGGUGAAGGUGCUCUCAACCUCGGUCAUAUUAUUUGAUUUAAAUUAUUGGCCUCGCCAGAGAUUGUUAAAUUAUGGAUUUUUCCUUUAUAGCAUAGCACCUAUCAAUUUUUAUUUCCAAAUCUCACCCUCAGUGCGAAGCCAUGAAAUGUCUUCUCUAUUCUUUUUUAAUAUAAAGGUGAAUCCAAUCAUAAAGCAGAAGGGAGAAAGUUGUGGACAUAUUCAGAAUCUGUCCAGCAUACCCAGCCAUAGACGCAGGCUUCCAAUGUGUUGUACAUAUAUGUUGAUAUACAGGGCUUCUCUUCGUCUCGAUCACCUCCCUUGCUUAAAUUUUAGCUUCUCCAAUUUUUUUAUUUUUUCUAAAUUAUUUGACCCCAUAUUGACAUGGAACAGUCAAUUUGUAACAAGUGGCAAAGUCGGGAAUCUCGAGGUAGAGUUUGGUUUUCACCCUGAAAACGCGGAAGGUUUGAUGGAGUUCCUUUAUUUCAUGUGUGACAAAUCCCCAUACAUAGCCCACAUGUUCACUCUGAUCUUAUGCUAUUAUAUUUCCGAAGGCGGUCCCGAAUUGAAAAGACUCCUUCAUCUACCAAAUUCAAUGUCACAAAAGAAUAUAAUAAAAAUAAACAUCAAAAUGCAUCUUAAAAUUUUAUCAUCUACAAUUCUCUAUUUUUUAUUUUUACCAAUAAAAUAGAUGUCAGUAAAGGAGUGGGAAGUCAACUAUCUGAAGUUAAAACAAGUCCUGCUCUUCCGUAUUCAUAAUAAAUACGAAUUUUAUUUAUAUGGUAACAGAUGAUGUGAAUUACAAAUACAAAGCGUUCGUCACACGGAACUUCUCACACAAAAGCAGAGGCCACUCCACUCACUUCAUAAUUCAUUUCUCCUCCUCCUCCUCCUCCUCCUCCUGCUUUCUCCCUCUCUUAGCUUCCUUCUCCCACCAUGACUUCAAAAGACUGCGGCAACCAUAGGCACAAGCAUCAUAAGCUGAGGCGAUGCUUCGCCGGAUUGCUUAUCUUCUUCUUCAUCGUCCUCCUCGUCGUACUCCUGGUGUGGGCAAUCCUCCAGCCCAAGGACCCACGCUUCGUCCUCCAAGACGCCACCAUCUACGCCCUCAACGUCUCCACCCCGAAUAUCCUCACCGUCAACAUCCAAGUCACCAUCACCACCCGCAACCCCAACGACAAGAUCGGCAUCUACUAUGAGAAACUCGACACCUACGCCACCUACCGCGGCCAGCAGAUUACCCUCGCGUACCUCAUCCCCCCCACCUACCAGGGCCACAAGGAGAUCAUCACCUGGUCACCUUUUCUCUCCGGCACGGCCGUACCCGUGGCUCCCUACAACGCCAUUGCACUGAAUCAGGACCAGUCGUAUGGCGCCCUCACCUUGAUCAUCAAGAUUGAUGGACGGGUGAAAUGGAAAGUUGGUUCCUUCACAUCAGGCCGUUAUCAUCUUAACGUCAAGUGUGUGGCGCCUAUUACUUUCGGUGCCAGGAGCAGCGGUGUUGUUAUCGGUAACGCCGUUAAGUACCAGAUGGCUUCCACUUGCAGCGUCAGCGUUUGAGCUUCUUCACGCCGUUAGUAUUAUUUCUCUCCCUUUGUCCUCUU